rnacentral:lncRNA from 1 species
GCCCAGGAGCUCGCCUUCGGCAGGCCCGCGAGGGAGGUGCAGGAGGUGUUCCGCGCCAAGGAUCAGCAGGACGAGGGCUUCGUCGCCGGACCCGAGCAGCAGCAGGAGCAUGAGCGCGGGGACCGCCGCCGUGGUGACCGCGGGCGCGGCGACGAAGCCGUGGAGGCGUUCCUGAGGAUGGCAACCGCCGCGCUCUGAGGCGGCAAGGCCGCUGUUGUUAAGUGAAUGUGUGAGCUGGAGCCCGUGCCAUUUGAGAGCUGAACUUGUAUGUGUGUGUAAGUUUGUCAGUACGCGGGAGUAGCAUAAAUAAGUCGUGGCACGGGCUCAGUACGAUGAUGUAAGUUGCGUACCUACCUUCUACCAAGGCAUGCAUGCCCAACAUAAAUAAACACAAGGGCGUUGCGCCUCUUUUUCAGUAUUUUCCUGUACUUUAGUUACAUGCAAAUCAUCUGAAAAAUGAAUUUUCCGGCACUUUAGUUACAUGCAAAUCAUCUGAAAAAUGAUUUUUCCUCCACUUAUUUACAUGCAAAUCAUCUGAAAAAUGAAUUUUCCUCCACUUUAGUUACAUGCAAAUCAUCUGAAAGAAGAAUUUGUGUCGUGUCUCUCAGAGAACCAAAAAAAAUUAACUUUCUCUUCCUCGACAGGCAUGGGUUUACUUGUAGUGAGGUAUGGAUUUGGUUUCGCGAGAGGCAUAUUCGUCUCUCUUUCGGAAAAGAGAAAAAAAAAUGACUGUUCAAUUUUUUCGUCAAUUUUUUGUUAAGAAAGUACGUCAAUAGUUUUAAACUAUUAAAGAUCUUGAUGUGAGAAAAGAGAAAAAGAAAAAAUGACUUUUCAAUUUUUUCGUCAAUUUUUUGUUAAGAAAGUACGUCAAUAGUUUUAAACUAUUAAAGAUCUUGAUGUGAGAAAUCGGAAGAUGAAAACGGUGUUUUAAAGAUCUCGACGUUAGGAAUCAAAACGGUCCGGUCCGAAAUUUGACACACGGUUCGAGAGAUUGAACAUCUUAAAUAAAAGUUUUCGGGUAGAUUGAACAUUUUAAAUAAAAGCUUUCGGGUUAUGACAAGGAGCGCACAUGCGCUGUGCUAUUUGUGGCAUUCUGAGAUGCUAUUUGUGGCAUUCUAAGGAGCGCACAUACAGUGUGCUAUUUGUGGCAUUCUGAGAUGUGGGAGAGAACUUUGCAAAGAUUACUUUUUAAUUAGUGCCUAUGGCGAGAAGUGUGUGGGGCGAAGCUAUAUCUCGCUUUUAGCGAGCUGCAUGGGAGCAUAGCCUCAAGCGCGAGAUGGUUAGGGCGGCCCAGGGUCCUUAGUUUUUCUCCUCUGUUUUUUCAUUCAUUUUUUAUAUCUUCCAAAAGAAUCUAAUAUAUAUAUAUAUAUAAUAUAUAUAUAUAUAUAUAUAUAUAUAUAUUACAAAACUAAAGUUUACUUAAAAAUUCAGAACAUUGAAUUUUAAAAUACUAAGUUUUGUAAAUUAUGUUGUUACCGCAGUUUUAGGAAGUGUAGAUAACUUAAGAAAAACUGUCUCUUAUAAUGAAAAAAUGUCCUGUGUUUUAGAAAAAAUGUAUGCGAUAAUUUUUAAAUGUGCAUACAAUGUAAAAAAAUGCGUGCCUAACGUAAAGUCCAGACGGUAUGUAACACUCCAAAGAAAAAAAAUUCUGGCAAUUGAAGGAACGUCCGUGACAAUUAAAAUAAAUGUUUACACAACUGAAAAACAAUUCUCGCAUAGUUCAGAAAAAGUACUUCCAUUAAAAAAAUGUACAUGAUGUUUAUAAUGAAGAAAACCAAAGUAUAAUGAAGAAAGGAAUUAUAACGAAGAAAAAAAGGUUGUAGGUUCUUCUUUGACGCCUGCAGCUCAACCGUUACGAGCACACAGAAGCACCUCUGAAAGAGCACACGAACGCGCCAUCACAUGAAUGAAAAGCAAAGAAAACCGAAGAAAAAGAAGAAAACCAAGAAAAAAACAAAGUAUAUAAUGAAGAAAAAAAGGUUGUGGGUUCUUCGUGGACGCCUACGGUUCAACCGUUAUUAGCACAGAGAAGCACCUCGGAAGAUUCACAUGUACAUGGUGUUUUUAAAAAUAUUCACUAGUUUCCAAAAAAUUGUCCAUGAAAUCUCAAAAUUGUUUAUACAAUGUAAAAGAAUUUUUUGUACAGUUUGAAAAAUGAUUUUGUCAUUCAAAAAAUGCGUAACGUAUUUGUAAAAUGUUACCAUGUAUUGGAAAAAGUGUUCAAACCAUGUAUUUUAAAGAAAUGUAUGUUACUAGCACAGAGAAGCACCUCUGAAAAAGCACAUGAACUCGCCAUGACAUGAUUGCAGACACCCAAACCAGAAGCGAGCAAGCAUGGCAGGCCAGCAGAUGGACAGACAUGGGUGCAUUUCCCUGAGCGAGCGCAUGUUGAUGUUGGCAUGGCACCAACAUACGUACUCUGAUUCAACGGAUCUCAAGAAGCCGGGUAGAACACACACACACACACACACACACACACCAGUACAGAGUACACCACUCAUCACACUGACCAUCAUGACCAGUGCCCCCUCCAUAUCCCCCUCAUCCAUGCAGCUACGCUACCCGGACAGGGGCACGCACGCAUCCACACACGGCCCCGGCCGUGGCCGGAGACCGGAUGGCACAUGCCAAUAUGCCAUCAUCCGUCCCUUACGUGGGUACGUACACGCAUGGCGCGUCCCAUCGAUCUCGCCCACUCGAGCUCGAUCGAUUCUCCUAGCUAGCUAGCUUCCCGCGCGCUCGAUUUCGACCGGGGCAUGCAGAUGCCCGAGCUGACCAAAACCAUCAUGCGGGCGCCUUUUGCCUGAGGCGCUCGUCAAUCAUGUCGCUCCGGCGUCGGCCUCGGCCACCGCCCCGAGAAGGGAGAAAAGCCGCGGUAGCCUCUCCCGUCGUCAUCACGAGCCGUGCCCCUGCCGGCUGCCGUGCGCGGUCACCCCCGACCCCGAGCGCCCUGCCUACACAACAGCUUACUAAUUCUCUCUGACCACGGGCGGCCCCGGCGAUCAGUGUCGGCACGACCGACACAGUGGUACGGAGAAACUAAUAAAACUGCUAUCCCUAGUAGUACUAGAAAAGGACUUGAGAGAAGACUUGCGCGCGUGGUUUGACCUUGGGACAAAGGAGCAAACAACAAUACGUUGGCUUCACUGCUGCUGAGUGCUGACUUGCAUAUGCUCAGGCUGGCACACAGCGCAGUAGCAUGUGUUUGGCCUGCCAAAACGCAGGACUAUCAGGCUAUCAGCUAGUAAUCCAUUCGGUUCCGUCUGUUUACAGGCAUAUGCAUGCUACUGUACAUGCAGCUAUGAUCUGUCACAGAAUUAUCGAUCGACGAUGGCAGAGCCGCAGAGGACGACGGUAGCGCCGGGCUGCCUGUGCACAUUUUAAACGGCAGCUGUUGGGAAUUCACCUUCUGCAUGCAAACUCCACAAACGGUCCUGGUUAACUCUUUGCAUUGUUUUCGUCUAGAUAGAUAGGUUAGGCCUAAGUUGAGAUUCGGAGCGAUCUAUUCGCCCUGCACCAACAUGUUGGAGAUGCCUAUGCAUGCACCCUAUGGCGACAGUGACAACGCUAUCAUUCAUGCCACCUUUGCAAAACUGAAACGUGCAUGGAUAUUUUCCAUACGUGACAGCAACACUGAUAUUUUCCAACUCCCCGUACACGCAUACCUUUACCACGAGUCACAGCGCGGACAAAGAACGAAGAUGUAAACUGAAAAGAACUAGACAACUAGUGGUACGCUAAUUGCACGUCGAGAACCACUGCUCGAUCACCAUCGGUCUAUCUUGUUCGAUCACAGUGGUAAAUCUGACAACUCCAUCCCACAAAGACUUUCUCGACCCUUAACGGAAAUCAAGUCAUCAGCUGUUGUGCGCAGGCAGGACGAUGUGGCCGAUCGGUUUCCCGUCGAUCAAACAGUGUGAUGUGAUAGUGGUGGUGGUGCUGCAGGGGCGCUUGUCCCUCGACACGGCGAGUUCCACGGAGUGAGCGUGAUGAUGGUCUCGACAUGGAAGAACAUGCAUGCAUUGCGCUCGAUUUGACGCGCGUGCUGGAGCUGAUGCGAGGAAUUUUUUUUUCAAAACUAUGACGCAUUUUAUAGCAAAUUCGGAAACUAUAGCAAAGAGUGGAGAAAAAUAAAAACUAGCACCCUGUCGGCCACGCGUGGGCUGAAAAGAGUGUUUUCGGCCUCCCUUUGGCUGAAAUGGACUUUUCGGCCUUGCCUCGGUCGAAAAGGUGCGUACCUAGGCCGAAAAGACCUUUUUGGUCAGGUGUAGGCCGAAAAGUCCCUUGGACCCACCUUUUCACGUUAAUGGUUGACCGAAGUAGCAUGGCUUCACCAUUGCCCAUCUUAGACAUUGAAAAAAUAUAUUUUCGUGCAACCCUUUCCCCUCAAUAUUUUCCCGCCAACUCUUUCCCGCCACCCGUUUCCCGCCAACCCCUUCCCGUCAUAUGUUCCUGCCACCUGUUUCCCGCCAACCCCUUCUCGCCAUAUGCUUCCGCCAACCCUUUCCCGCCAUACCACAGUAUACCAUUAAAUAAAUUCUUCAUAUUUUAAAAAAAAUCAUGUUUCUCAAAAUCUUUUCACUUUUUUUAAAUGUCUUCACAAUUCAGAAAAACAUUAACCAUAUAUCACAAAAAUAUUCAAUGUGUCUUCAGAAAAUUUUCAGCUUAUACUACAAAAAUGCUCGGUGUAUAUUUAUAAAUUGUUCAUCACUUAAAAAAUCAAUAAAUGUUUGGAAUUCUAAAAUUUUGUUCAUGUGUUCAAUAAAUUUUCACGUUUUAAAAGUUUGUUCGUAUUUCAGAAAAUUCUAUUUUAAAUAAUUAUUUAAAUUGCUAAAGUAAAAUUGUUCACCUUUUUUGAAAACCUUGAUUUUUAUAAAGAAAGGGAUCGGUUGUUGUACAUUAGCCAGAUGCUAUCCUAUUUGGCUGGUAACACACAUACCCAGCGUGAGGUCAGGUUUUUGACUCCAUCGCUUGCGCUUUUAUCCCAUUUUUUUUAAAUAUGAAGAAUUUAUUUAAUGGUAUACUGUGGUAUGGCGGGAAAGGGUUGGCGGAAAUAUAUGGCGGGAGGGGUUGGCGGGAAACGGGUGGCAGGAACAUAUGGCGGGAAGGGGUUGGCGGGAAACGGAUGGCGAAAAAUAGUUGACGGAAAAAUAUUGAGGGGAAAGGGUUGCGCGAAAAUAUAUAUUUCAGUGUCUAAGAUGGACAAUGGUUGCACAAUAUUUAUAUACCAAAAUAAAAAAAUCACUUCGGCCUAACACAAGCCGAAGAGUGGAGCCAUGCAACUUCGGUCAACCAUUAACGUGAAAAGGUGGGCCCAAAGGACUUUUCGGCCUACUCCUGAUCAAAAAGGACUUUUCGGCCUACUCAUGACAAAAAGAACUUUUCGGCCUACUCCUGACCAAAAAGGUCUUUUCGGCCCAGGUGCGCACAUUUUCGGCCAAGGCAAGGCCGAAAAGUCCAUUUCGUCCAAAGGGAGGCCGAAAACACCCUUCUCGGCCCACGCGUGGCCGACGGGGUGCUACUUUUGAUUUUUCUUCACUCUUUGCUAUACUUUCCGAAUUUGCUAUAAAAUACGUCAUAGUUUUGAAAAAAAAUCAUGCGAGGAGUCUGCUAGCUCAUUAAGCAGCGUGCUGCUCAUGUUCUCCAGUCACUUCCAUCAAGUGAUGCAAUGGAACGUGACUGGUUAAAUAUAGAGUGCGUGUGUUUGUUCAUUUCAGAUUGAAGGUGUGAUCCUCUGCGAUCGUUCCGUGGUUUAGAUUGCCCGCUGUUUCGUGAUAAUCUCACAAGCUUAAUUAGACCUACCCCUUGGUUGAUAGAUCACAGUACAUUGCUCUUGUCCAGGAGAUCUCUGCUAUGAUGAGAGGGGACAGACAGAUUAAGGUUAAGGCGAUAAAGAGGGAGUGUAAUCUUGUUAGCCAUGAACUAGCUAAGAUUGGGAGGGUUGAGGUUAAGACGGCCGUCUGGUUACGGUCGGGUCUUGGGAGGGUUGUAAAACUGUGUGCACUGGAUCAUACUGAUCCGAGUUAAUUAAUACAGAACCCUUUCCCCCCGCAAAAAAAAAAAAAUAGACCACACAAGACCAUUAAUGUUUCUCGCGACUACGAAAGGUUUGUGUAUCUUAUUUAUAGAUAGAAGAGAAUGACAAUCACAGAGAGGACAGGGAGAGGAAUACACCAGAACACACACUUGUCUAGUCUAAACUCAAGCUAGGGAAGGCAAGGAGACGAGACCCAGAGCGGCUAGGCCGCGUCACGACAACUGGGGUCCUCGGCCCGGCCCACCUGGUCGGGAGUCGACAUGGUAAGUACCCCUAUUUCCAGGACACUGACAGCGUGUGUGUGUGUGUGCGCGCUCAUUGUGUUAGUUGCGUGUAUUUUUCUUUUCCCCAAGGGUAUGUGUAUGGAUAGAAACAAGCGGGCGGGUGAUUAGAUUUGGGCAUGAAUAUGGAGGAUCACUUAUUUGGCCAAAGUGGUCAUAUUCCCUUGUUUACCAGGUAAUGAUGCCUUGUAGCAUGUACCUUAGAAAAUAGGAAGAAAGGAAAAUCCAAUGAAAGCUUAGGAAAAAAUGCAUAAACAACAUUUGCAAAUAUAGAAAAGGGAUAACACAAUAGUAAUUCAAAAUAAUAAUUUAAAACCAAACAUAAUAAGCAACAAUUAUAGAAAUUGAGAAAACCCACCAAUAAUUUGUAAACAUUUAAAAUGUAUGAGCAUUCAUGAUUUGAAAGUUCAUAAACCAUUGUAAGUUCACAAACAAGCAGUAGGGCAGGCCUAGGCGGGCCAAUAUGAAGAAGAUGGCACAAAAAAAUUGCCCUAACGGCCUUGUUUGACCCACAAUCUACACAAUUUUCUACCUGAGUUAAGCGAGCCAUGACCAGGUUUUGUCCAUGUGUACCUCCACCACAGCUGGGGCAUGCACACAUAGAGCUUAUGGAGUACACUAGAAACCGACUUAUGUAACUAUAUACUUACAUAGGUGUGCACUCACAUACUCCUUCCGUCUCAAAAUAAGUGCAAAGUUAGUACAAACUUAAGUCACUUAUUUUGGGACGCAUGAGUACAUUGUUGUGUCAUAAUGCCACCUAGCUAGUUUGGUCAUGGUCCGACAUUGCUUGAACCCCUUAUCUUUUAAGAAUAUGUCUAAAUUUGAAUUAUGUUUUGUCAUCGACCGUUUUGGUUUUAUAUUUACCUUUCAUGAUUAUAUUUUUAGUUUUUUUGCUACCUAGUCUAUAGCAUGGGUAAAACCAUCCCCACAUCAUGGACCAUACCACCUGACUCGGCUCAUCUUGAAAUGUCAAGGGUCAAACUUGCAUCAUUUGGAUUUUUGGAUCAAAACUAAACCAAGUAACAGUUGAGGGUCCAAGAGCUUUUUUUUAAGUUUUGGGCAACAAUGACUAUCUGCAUGAUAGAAUAUGUAAAUUCUCAUGUUUUAGUUUUUUGAUAUAAAAAAUAGGAUGCACUUAUGAUGCGGAUCCAAGAGGCAAUAAAUCUUUCAUUUUUUUAAUGAAAAAUGGUGUGUUGCCUUUAAAAUGCAGUGCACAUGAUGUAAGCUAAUCUCUAGCUAGCUACUCCCACGGUCCCAUAAUGUAAGACGUACGCAGGGAGUACUGCUAGGAUAUAGUCAGAAAUAUUACAUCACGCAUGCUUUACAAUUUAUGCUUUUUAAGGAAGCACUUGCUGAGCCGGAGACUUCCUGUUAAGCAAUUCGUCGUACGUGCCCAAUGUAGUCAUGCUUACCAGAUCAUCAAUAUGCAAACCACGUAUGAUAUAUCUUGUCAGCUCUUAAUUUGAACAAAGUUUUUGAUUUGCCAAGGUCACCGUUGAGUAUUAGUAGUAGCUAGUAGUGGUUUGUAACGAGUGGAAGCCUACAAAGGCAACCAACACUACUAGCUAAUUGGGCAGCUACAACUAAUAGGAUAUGGGCCUGAUGUCUUUUACACUUUUAAUGAUUAGAUUACGAGAAGUUUAUGCAAAGCACCAACCAAUUUGGGCCGCUCUACCCGAGCUUGGUCUGCUUUACCCCAGAGGCAUGAGUAUAUGACGCCUUUUGCAGGCCAAAUUGAGAAUAAUUUAUAGGAAAUAUAUUACUUCCUCUGUUCACUUUUAUAAGGCCUUAAAGAUAUUUUAAACAAUGUGCAAAACAGCCCAUUUUUAGUUGUCUGAAACGACUUACAAAAAUGAACGGAGGGAGUAAUUAAGAUAUGUUACGUACAACAUAAGAAUGGCCAAGAGGAACUACUAGUUUUUAGUUUUUUCCUACGAAAACAAAUGUGUAGAAUGAAAACAAAGUUUGCAUUUCAGUUCCAUCGCUGAUGCGGAUAAUUCUUGUUUCUCAAACAUUCGAAGCAUCAAAUCAGUAACCUAUCUCUCCUCCACUCCUCACAAUCAGUCAUCAUGCCUGUGAUACCAGUGGCCUUGUGGCACAACAGAGUUUCCGUCUAGUUGCCGGGCCUACACCUAUCAAUCAUGUUUGCAUGCAGUGCAGCACAUCACAACAACUUGGCCAUACUUGUCAUCCUUGUGUUGCCCAAGAUUCUCUAUGCAUGCAUGGACAUGCAUGCGAGGUAGAUGAGUCGGGCAGGUUGCUCAGAAGAACUCAGCCCUAGCUUAUAGUGCAUGGCUCUCCUGGAACAAGCAAUUAAAGACCAGUUAGUCCAUGGUGCAUGAUAAAUGGUAAUCAGACGAGCAAUGAUGGAAUUGAGAAAGGAACGAGCAACGUGAUGCUUACUCUGCAGCAGAAACAGAAAGCGAGUGGCAACCAGAAGGAGCCCACAGUUUGACCUAAGGACACCUGAAGGAAGUCCCACUUCCAAAUAUAUGAACCUCCCGAGUGAUGCUCCUACCACUCGAGUGAAUUCUCUUUUUCCUAAUAUACUGAGUAUGCAUGGCAUGGCCAGUGCAUAUGUGACAUAUGUCACACAAAAAUACUGUCACAACAGUAGAUUCCACGACCCUCGGGCGGUCACCCGGUGGACCUCGUGCGGCCGUGCAACCAAAGCCGAUCCGGUUGAUGCAUGCACGAACGGACCACAUCAAAGGCGUGCGCGCACUCGCGAACGUGCAAAGACAUCUCCAAUGGGGGUGUACUACGUGGAUGGUCCAAGGUGUUUCAAAAUGCACACUCGUGAGUGAGAUGAACCCCACAGAUGAACCCCACAUCUAGGUACACCGUAGGGCCCUCCUCUCCUCUUGGGGUGAGUGGAAGCUUCACUAGAACACAUAAUACAUACAGGUGUGCAAUGCAUCUGCUGUUGCAAUGUUGUUGUAGCCCCAGCUCGAUCUAUGUUGCGCAAUGUUGCUACAAUAUGUGUAUACAUGGGGUGCCUUUGGUCCCCUUGUUUGUGGGUUGAGCCACUGGUAGCUUGUUUAGUAUAGUUCAUCCUGAUCAUGCGCUUGCUUACUUUGCGCCUCGCCAUGCAAUGUAAUGCGGCUCUUGAGAAAGAGCCGAUGGUUCCUUCACAUUCGUUCGUUGGCGCCCUCUGCAAUUUUCUGAUGGGUCGCCGGCCGUGCGCCGAACUGCCCGUUCUAGUGCGCCGAUCGACGAGCGACGACGGAGUGGGCUGGCGCGGUACGCGAGGUGGACGGCCGCACGUACGGCGCGCCGGUACUGAUGCGAGGCGUUUUGCGCAUUAGUUUAGUCGUUGGUUUUUGUAAAGAUGACAGCGCAACGGAUAGCAACGACGACGUAAGGUUGUGAGUUGUGACACGGAUGGCCAGCAUGCAUGUUUGCAGCGGCUCGUGGGAUGGGGUCGUGCGUACGUAGACGGUAGACCUGCACAACGUGUCGAGGUUCCGUGCCAUCCCCGACCGGGACGGAUACCACAGGGUGGCAACAGCAUGCUGAUCGGCCACUAGCUAGACUCUGUGAAACGCGUGUGACCACUCAUCCUUAAGUUCCGUCGUUACGUACAAUGCAAACCUGCGGCCGGCCGGCCGGCCAGAUCACAGGGCCUGCCCAGAGCACAGAGUGAACCUUGUAUAACACUCCUGUACUAAAGAAGGUGAUAUGUUGUGUAGGGCUGCUGAUCUGUAAGGUUGGGGCAGCGAUGCCACCGUCAGCCGCUGUCCCGGGAAACGUCGGCAGCCGAGCAUGGCCGCACCGCGCGCGUGUGCUCGGGGGGAAACAUUCCGUGGCCAUGUAGGUCGGGGUCUGCGCGUAUGCACUAUGCAGUGGUGGUAGUAGGAGCAGUGUUGAGGAUCAGGAGGUGGCGAUCCCAAGAAGGCACUGCUGAGUUGCUGCGAGUUGAGAGUUGCGAGGCCACCAUGUUUGGCUUCCUCGAUCGAAUCUCAAAACAAGGAAAAAAGGGAGCAAGAGAAGAUUUGCAGAUAGCGGCUCGUGGGCUGCGCCUAAGGCCUAUCUACACUACACUAGACUAGAGGGAGAUCCGAUUACUACUUGCGUCAAACUUGCGGGUGGGAGGGUAGGAGUACUUGGGAGAUCCUGGAUGAAAGUAAAGCGGCCAAAAAAAAGAGGAUCCUUCCAUUCUUUCCACCAAAGUCUCACUACAAGAGGUGUUUGACAGCGAAAGCAACAAUGACAAUCGCUAGUGGCACCAUGCAACUUGUGCGCCUACCUAUAAAAUUUUUUCUCCCGUCGCAGUUGGUCUCAUUGGUUAAAUUUAUGGUCAAAGUUGGACAUUGGGAAACGCGGGCGCACUAUAUUUUAGAAUGGAGGGAGUACAUUUCAACCACUAUUUGAACUAAACGAAUGUAAUUUAUACAAACAAGGCGAAAUUCAUUUAAGUUUGGUCAUAAUUUACACAAAAAGGUUAAUAUUUCGACCAUUUAACUAAAAAACUAGAAAAAUAAACUAAACCCUAUAACGGACGACCACCUCGUAGGCGUGGCCGCCCUGCCCUGUCGCACCGCCGUCGCCAUCCGUGUCGUUGUCGUCGUUGUCCCUCGAGUGGCGGAACAAUGCCGGAGGGUCGGGACAGCCUUGUCCGCCUGCCUACCGCACGUGGAGGAGCCGCUCCGCCUCCUGGUGCAGAAGGCCGCCGCGGCCUCUGCCGAUGUAGCCUUCGGAGCCCGGGCGACGACCAAUGUCACGACUGGCGCUGGCGAAGCAUUUGCUAAGUGAUAACCAACAAGUAUAGGGGAUCGCAACAGUUUUCGAGGGUAGAGUAUUCAACCCAAAUUUGUUGAUUCGACACAAGGGGAGCCAAAGAAUAUUCUCAAGUAUUAGCGGCUGAGUUGUCAAUUCAACCACACCUGGAAACUUAGUAUCUGCAGCAAAGUGUUUAGUAGCAAAGUAAUAUGAUAGUGGUGGUAACGGUAACAAAGUAAAGACAACAAAAGUAAUGUUUUUGGUAUUUUUGUGAUGAUUGUAACAGUAGCAACGGAAAAGUGAAUAAGCGUAAACCAGUAUAUGGAAAACUCGUAGGCACCGGAUCAAUGAUGGAUAAUUAUGCCGGGUAUGGUUCAUUAUGUACCAGUCAUAACAUAGAGUGACACAGAACUAACUCCAGUUCAUCAAUAUAAUGUAGGCAUGUAUUCCGUAAAUAGUCAUACGUGCUUAUGGAAAAGAACUUGCAUGACAUCUUUUGCCCUACCUUCCCGUGGCAGUGGGGUCCUAUUAGAAACUAAGGGAUAUUAAGGCCUCCUUUUAAUAGAGAACCGGAACAAAGCAUUAACACAUAGUGAAUACAUGAACUCCUCAAACUAUGGUCAUCACCGGGAGUGGUUCCGAUUAUUGUCACUUCGGGGCUGCCGGAUCAUAACACAUAGUAAGUGACUAUAGACUUGCAAGAUAGGAUCUAGAACUCACAUAUAUUCAUGAAAACACAAUAGGUUCAGAUCUGAGAUCAUGGCACUCGGGCCCUAGUGACAAGCAUUAAGCAUAGCAAAGUCAUAGCAACAUCAAUCUCAGAACAUAGUGGAUACUAGGGAUCAAACCCUAACAAAACUAACUCGAUUACAUGAUAAAUUUCAUCCAACCCAUCACCGUCCAGCAAGCCUACGAUGCAAUUACUCACGCACGGCGGUGAGCAUCAUGAAAUUGGUGAUGGAGGAUGGUUGAUGAUGACGACGACGAUGAAUCCUCCUCUCCGGAGCUCUGAACGGACUCCAGAUCAGCCCUCCCAAGAGAUAUUAGGGCUUGGCGGCGGCUCCGUAUCGUAAAACGCGAUGAAAUUUUUUUCUUCUGAUUUUUUUCUCCUCGAAAGCCAAUAUAUGGAGUUGGAGUUGGCGUCGGAGGGCCACCAGGGGCCCAUGAGGUAGGGGGCGCGCCCAGGGGUGGGGGGCGCGCCCCCCACCCUCGUGGACAGGGUGUGGGCCCCCUGGUCUUCAUCUUUGGCGAUGAUUUUUUUUAUUUAUUCUAAGAUAUUCCGUGGAGUUUCAGGUCAUUCCGAGAACUUUUGUUUUCUGCACAUAAAACAACACCAUGGCAAUUCUGCUGAAAACAGCGUUAGUCCGGGUUAGUUCCAUUCAAAUCAUACAAGUUAGAGUCCAAAACAAGGGCAAAAGUGUUUGGAAAAGUAGAUAUGACGGAGACGUAUCAACUCCCCCAAGUUUAAACCCUUGCUUGUCCUCAAGCAAUUCAGUUGACAAACUGAAAGAGAAAAAGAAAAACUUUUACAAACUCUGUUUGCUCUUGUUGUUGUAAACAUGAAAAGCCAGCAUUCAAGUUUCAGCAAUUAUUAUGAACUAACCAUACUCACAAUAACACGUAGGUCUCAUAAUUACUCAUAUCAAUAGCAUAAUCAGCUAGCGAGCCAUAAUAAUAAAACUCGGAUGACAACACUUUCUCAAAAUAAUCAUAACAUGAUACAACAAAAUGGUAUCUCGCUAGCCCUUUCUGAGACCGCAAAACAUAAAUGCAGAGCACCUUUAAAGAUCAAGGACUGACUAAACAUUGUAAUUCAUGGUAAAAGAGAUCCAGUCAAGUCAUACUCAAUAUAAACCAAUCAUAAUGAAUGCAAACAACAGUGUGCUCUCCAGCGGGUGCUUUUUAAUAAGAAGGGUGAUGACUCAACAUAAAAGUAAAUAGAUAGGCCCUUCGCAGAGGGAAGCAGAGAUUGAUAGAGGUGCCAAAGCUCGAUUUUUCAAAUAGAGAUAAAUAAUAUUUUGAGCGGCAUACUUUCACUGUCAACGCAACAACUAUGAGAUGGCUGUAUCUUCCAUACUACAUGCAUUAUAGGAAGUUCUCAAACAGAAUGGUAAAGGUUUAUACUCCCCCUCUUCCACAAGCAUCAAUCCAUGGCUUGCUCGAAACAACGAGUGCCUCCAACAUUCAACGGGUCCCAGGGGGAGUUUUGUUUAAUUAUUUUGAUUUGCUUUGAUCUUUUUGGAUCAUGGGACUGGGCAUCCCGGUUACCGGCCCUUUCUCGUGAAUGAGGAGCGGAGUCCACUCCUCUUGAGAAUAACCCACCUAGCAUGGAAGAUAUAGGCAGCCAUAGUUGCACAUGAGCUGCUCGAGCAUACAAAACAGAAUUUCAUUGAAAGGUUUGGAGUUUGGCACAUACAAAUUUACUUGGAACGGCAGAUAGAUACCGCAUAUAGGAAGGUAUAGUGGACUCAUAUGGAACAACUUUGGGGUUUAAGGAGUUUGGAUGCACAAGCAGUAUUCCCGCUUAGUACAGGUGAAGGCUAGCAAAAGAUUGGGAAGCGACCAACUGAGAGAGCGACAACAGUCGUAAACAUGCAUUAAAAUUAAUUCACACCGAAUAUAAGCAUGAGUAGGAUAUAAUCCACCAUGAACAUAAAUAUCAUGAAGGCUAUGUUAAUUUGAUUCAACUACAUGCGUGAACAUGUGCCAAGUCGAGUCACUCAAUUCAUUUAAAGGAGGAUACCAUCCUAUCAUACCACAUCAUAAUCGUCUCAAUAGCAUGUUGGCACGCAAGGUUAACCAUUAUAACUUAUAGCUAAUCAAGCAUGGCACAAGCAACUAUAUUCUCUAAAUGUCAUUGCAAAUAUGUUUACUUCAUAAUAGCUGAAUCAGGAACGAUGAAUCAUCAUAUUUACAAAAACAAGAGAGGUCGAGUUCAUACCAGCUUUUCUCAUCCCAAUGAGUCCAUCAUAUAUCAUCAUUAUUGCCUUUCACUUGCACGACCGAACGGUGUGUAUAAUAAUAGGAGUGCACGUGCAUUGGACUAAGCUGGAAUCUGCAAGUAUUCAACUCAAAAGAGAAGACAAGUAAUAUGGGCUCUAAGUUAAAUAAACAAUCAUGCAUAUAAGAGCCACUAAGCAUUUUCAAUAUAGUCUUCUCGACCCCCAAAGAAAGGAAAAGAAAAAUAAAAACUAUUUACAUGGGAAAGCUCCUAACAAGCAAAAGAAGGACGGGAAAUAUUUUUGGGUUUUCUUUUAAAUUCUACUACAAGCAUGGAAAGUAGACUAACACUAUUUUUUUUGUUUUUCUUAAGGUUUAUUAAACACACAAGAAGAAAGCAGGAAAAAAGGAAAAUAAACUAGCAUGGAUAUUACAAUGAAAGAGUAUGAGCACCGACAUCUAGCAAUGAGUGUGUGCGAACAUGAAUGUAAUGUCGGUGGGAAAUAUGUACUCCCCCAAGCUUAGGCUUUUGGACUAAGUUGGUCUAUUGCCAGGGAUAACCUGGCUGAUAUCCGUAGGUGAAGCUGGGGUCGUACUGCGAUGCAGCGGCUACCGUCUGCUGAGCAGCAGCACGGCGUCGGGCUGCUUCCACUCCCCUCUCGUACUCAUCUGCCUCCUCUCUGGUAAUAAUAUAUCUUCCUCUCGCCAAGGAACAAUCUCCCCAAACAGUUUUGCGAGAGGUGUUUUGAGCAAGAAGAUCGAAAAUCACAGCAAAAGUUGCUGGAACACGAGCUUGAGUUGGUUUUUCGGGUUUGUGCGAGACAAGGAAGAAGAUGGGUGCAGGAAUAAGUGGAGGAGGGCCACCGUGGGCCCACGAGGCAGGGGGGUGCGCCCAGGGGGGUAGGGCGCGCCCUCCACCCUCGUGACCAGGUGGCAGCUCCCCCCGCGGUAAUUUUUGCAUUAUAAAUCCUUAAAUAUUCCCAAAAAAAAUCAUAUUAAAUUGGCAUGGCAUUCUGAGGACUUUUAUUUUCGGGAUAUUUUUAUAUUGCACGGAUAGGUCAGGAAACAGACAGAAAAAUACUAUUUUACUUUAUUUCUACUAAAGAACAGAAAAUAUAAAGAGGGUACAGAAGGUUGUGCUUCUAGUUUCAUCCAUCUCAUGCUCAUCAAAAGAAUCCACUAACAAGGUUGAUCAAGUCUUGUUAACAAACUCAUUCCGAUAAUCAUGGAACCGGAGAAAUUUCGAAUAACACUAUGUUACCUCAACGAGGAUAUGGACAUCCCCAACAAUAAGUGUAUCAUAUUUCUUUUUGACAGUAGGAAGAGGAAAUUCAAAACCUCCAAAUAUAAUCGAUGGAAUUUUUCCAAUAGAGUUGAUACUAUAAACUUGAGGUUGUUUCCUCGGAAAGUGCACCGUAUGCUCAUUACCAUUAACAUAAAAAGUGACAUUGCCUUUGUUGAAUCAAUAACAGCCCCUGCAGUAUUAAGGAAAGGUCUUCCAAGAAUAAUAGACAUACUAUCAUCCUCGGGAAUAUCAAGAAUAACAAAGUUCGUUAAAAUAGUAACGUUUGCAACCACAACAGGUACAUCCUCACAAAUACCGACAGGUAUAGCAGUUGAUUUAUCAGCCAUUUGCAAAGAUAUUUCAGUAGGUGUCAACUUAUUCAAGUCAAGUCUACGAUAUAAAGAAAGAGGCAUAACACUAACACCGGCUCCAAGAUCACAUAAAGCAGUUUUAACAUAAUUUCUUUUAAUGGAGCAUGGUAUAGUACGUAUUCCUGGAUCUCCUAGUUUCUUUGGUAUUGCACCCUUAAAAGUGUAAUUAGCAAGCAUGGUGGAAAUUUCAGCCUCCGGUAUCUUUCUUUUAUCAGUAAUGAUAUCCUUCAUAUACUUAGCAUAAGGAUUUGUUUUGAGCACAUCAGUCAAUCGCAUACGCAAAAAGAUAGGUCUAAUCAUUUUAGCAAAGCGCUCAAAAUCCUCAUCAUCCUUUUUUUUGGAUGGUUUCGGAGGAAAAGGCAUGGGUUUCUGAACCCAUGGUUCUCUUUCUUUACCAUGUUUCCUAGCAACGAAGUCUCUUUUAUCAUAACGUUGAUUCUUUGAUUGUGGGUUAUCAAGAUCAACAACAGGUUCAACUUCUACAUCAUUAUCAUUACUAGGUUGAGCAUCAUCAUUAACAUUUUCACUAGGUUCAUGUUCAUUACCAGAUUGUGUUUCAGCAUCAGGCAUAGAGAUAUCAUUUGGAUUAUCAGGUGGUUCAGCAAUAGGUUCACUAGAAGUUUGCACAGUUCUAUCAUUUUCUUUUUCUUCCUUUUAGAAGAGCUAGGUGCAUCAAUAUUAUUUCUUUGAGAAUCUUGCUCGAUUCUCUUAGGGUGGCCUUCAGGAUACAAAGGUUCCUGAGUCAUUCUACCAGUUCUAGUAGCCACUCUAACAGCAUAAUCAUUUUUCUUGCUAUUCAUUUCAUCAAGCAUUUCUUCUGAGCUUUAAGUACUUGUUCUACUUGAGUGGUAACCAUAGAAGCAUAUUUGCUAACAAGUUUAAGUUCACCUUUAAUAUUAUCCAUAUAACCACUCAAGCGUUUAAUCAUAAAGGUAUUCUGCUUUAAUUGUCUACCAAAAUAAGCAUUAAAGUCAUCUUGCUUAAACAUAAAGUCAUCAAACUCAUCCAAGCACUGACUAGCAAUUUUAGUAGGAGGGACUUCAACUUUAUCAUAUCUAUAGAGAGAAUUUACCUUUACUACCUGUGUCAGGAUAUCGGGAGGUUGUUCAGUAAAUAAGUAAUUGAGAUCAUAUACUUCUUCAACAGACGGUAAAUUAAAGCCAUGUAUUUCUUCAAUAGAAGGUAAAUUCUUAACAUCUUCAGCUUUAAUACAUUUUUCUUUCAUAGAUUUCUUUGCCUCUUGCAUAUCUUCGGGACUGAGAAAUAGAACACCUCUCUUCUUCGGAGUUGGUUUAGGAAUAGGCUCAGUAAUUGGCUCAGGAGCUGGCUCAGGAGUUGGCUCGGAAGGUGGCUCAGGAGGUGCCCAAUUAUUUUCAUUUGCCAACAUAUUAUUCAAUAAAAUUUCAGCGUCAUCCGGUGUUCUUUCCCUGAAAAGAGAACCAGCACAACUAUCCAGGUAAUCUCUGAAAGCACCAGUUAGUCCAUUAUAAAAGAUAUCAAAUAUUUCAGGUUUCUUAAGAGGAUGAUCAGGCAAAGCAUUAAGUAACUUGAGAAGCCUCCCCCAAGCUUGUGGGAGACUCUCUUCUUCAAUUUGCACAAAAUUGUAUAUUUCACUCAAAGCAGCUUGUUUCUUAUGAGCAGGGAAAUAUUUAGCAGAGAAGUAAUAAAUCAUAUCCUGAGGACUUUGCACACAGGCAGGAUCAAGAGAAUUAAACCAUUUCUUAGCAUCACCCUUUAAUGAGAACGGAAAUAUUUUGAGUAUAUAAAAGUGGCGCGAUCUCAGAUUAUUAGUAAACAGGGCAGCUAUUUCAUCUAACUUACAAAGAUGUGCCACAACAGUUUCAGAUUCAUAGCCAUAAAAAGGAUCAGAUUCAACCAAAGUAAUUAUAUCUGGAUCAACAGUAAUAUCAUAAUAAUCCUGAUUAGGAACACAGAUAGGUGAAGUAGCAAAAGCAGGGUCGGGUCUCAUCCUACCUCUAAAAGAUUCCUUACUCCACUUAAUUAGUAACCUCUUACGUUCAGGUUUAUCCGGACAAGCAAGAAUAGCUUCAUAAGAUUCAUUAUUAAAAAGAUAACCCUCAGGAAUAACAGGCAUAGGUUCAUCAUCACUAACAUCAUCGUGUUCAGGUUCACUAAUUUCUCUUUCUCUAGACUUAGAUAUUUGCUCAUCUAGAAAUUCACCAAGUGGCACAGUAGUAUCAAGCAUAGAAGUAGUUUCAUCAUAAGUAUCAUGCAUAGCAGAAGUGGCAUCAUCAAUAACAUGCGACAUAUCAAAAUUAAUAGCAGUAGUAGGUUUAGGUGUCGCUAGCUUACUCAUAACAGCAGGUGAAUCAAGUGCAGAGCUAGAUGGCAGUUCCUUACCUCCCAUCGUAGUUGAGGGAUAAAUUUUUGUCUUAGCGUCUUUCAAGUUCUUCAUAGUGUCCAGCAGAUAUAAAUCCCAAGUGACUUAAAGAAUAGAGCUAUGCUUCCCGGCAACGGCGCCAGAAAAAGGUCUUGAUAACCCACAAGUAUAGGGGAUCGCAACAGUUUUCGAGGGUAGAGUAUUCAACCCAAAUUUGUUGAUUCGACACAAGGGGAGCCAAAGAAUAUUCUCAAGUAUUAGCGGUUGAGUUGUCAAUUCAACCACACCUGGAAACUUAGUAUCUGCAGCAAAGUGUUUAGUAGCAAAGUAAUAUGACAGUGGUGGUAACGGUAACAAAGUAAAGACAGCAAAAGUAAUGUUUUUGGUAUUUUUGUGAUGAUUGUAACAGUAGCAACGGAAAAGUGAAUAAGCGUAAACCAGUAUAUGGAAAACUCGUAGGCACCGGAUUAAUGAUGGAUAAUUAUGCCGGAUGUGGUUCAUCAUGUAACAGUCAUAACAUAGGGUGACACAGAACUAGCUCCAGUUCAUCAAUAUAAUGUAGGCAUGUAUUCCGUAAAUAGUCAUACGUGCUUAUGAAAAAGAACUUGCAUGACAUCUUUUGUCCUACCCUCCCGUGGCAGCGGGGUCCUAUUGGAAACUAAGGGAUAUUAAGGCCUCCUUUUAAUAGAGAACCGGAACAAAGCAUUAACACAUAGUGAAUACAUGAACUCCUCAAACUAUGGUCAUCACCAGGAGUGGUCCCGAUUAUUGUCACUUCGGGGUUGCCGGAUCAUAACACAUAGUAGGUGACUAUAGACUUGCAAGAUAGGAUCUAGAACUCACAUAUAUUCAUGAAAACAUAAUAGGUUCAGAUUUGAAAUCAUGGCACUCGGGCCCUAGUGACAAGCAUUAAGCAUAGCAAAGUCAUAGCAACAUCAAUCUCAGAACAUAGUGGAUACUAGGGAUCAAACCCUAACAAAACUAACUCAAUUACAUGAUAGAUCUCUUCCAACCCAUCACCGUCCAGCAAGCCUACGAUGCAAUUACUCACGCACGGCGGUGAGCAUCAUGAAAUUGGUGAUGGAGGAUGGUUGAUGAUGACGACGACGAUGAAUCCCCCUCUCUGGAGCCCCGAACGGACUCCAGAUCAGCCCUCCCGAGAGAGAUUAGGGCUUGGCGGCGGCUCCGUAUCGUAAAACGCGAUGAAACUUUUUUUUUCUGAUUUUUCUCUCCUUGAAAGCCAAUAUAUGGAGUUGGAGUUGGCGUCGGAGGGCCACCAGGGGGCCCAUGAGGUAGGGGGGCGCGCCCAAGGGGGAGGGGCGCCCCCCCCACCCUCGUGGACAGGGUGUGGGCCCCCUGGUCUUCAUCUUUGGCGAGGAUUUUUUAUUAUUUAUUCUAAGAUAUUCCGUGGACUUUCAGGUCAUUCCGAGAACUUUUGUUUUCUGCAUAUAAAACAACACCAUGGCAAUUCUGCUGAAAACAGCGUCAGUCCGGAUUAGUUCCAUUCAAAUCAUACAAGUUAGAGUCCAAAAUAAGGGCAAAAGUGUUUGGAAAAGUAGAUACGACGGAGACGUAUCACUAAGCAACCACUCCUCUCUGAUCUUGGCGAGCUCACCAUCAAGGCAGCGGCGCAUGGUGGCCGUCUCUACGGUGGUGACUAGGUGAACGUGGGCCCACACGGUAGCGAGAUUGGAGAGGACGACCCUGGAGCCCGAGGGACCACCGUCGCCGCAUAGGAGAUAGUGAAGGACGCGGCCCCGCGCCUUCGUGGUCACAGGCAGUAGCUUCCUUGACGACGCAACGGUGGCGGCGGGGCGGCGAGGCAGGCCCGUCGUUGUGGGCAUACCGGUUGCGCAAGGCAACGCCGGCUCGUUCUUGACCCGAUGUCUGAUCUGGACGUCACGAUUGGGCUGAGGCGACGUCGGCUCAUCCAUGAUGUGACGUCCGAUCUGGAUGCGGUGGUGGCGGCGGGGCGACGAGGCCCCUCGUUUCGGGCGUACCGGCUGUAUGGGACCGACGCCGGCUCGUCCUUGACCCGCCGGAGCGGGGACACCAGCUCAUACUUCACGUGAUGCCGCGACGGGGACGACUGCUUCUUCUUGACGCACACCGACGAUGGUGGCGACGGGCCCAUGUGUCGGAGCGAACACUCCGUCAUUAACUCGACCUGAUGGAUGAAUUCUUCGUCCAUCACAAUGACCUCCGAGAGGAGACGGGGCCUUUGAACUGACGGAGGGAGAGUGUGGCUCUAUGCAUGUCGUUGGUUCGUGUCGGUUGACUUUAUUUAUUUAUUUUUGGAUGUGUGCCUCAUAAAUGUCUAUAUUAGGACUUGAUAUUGUGUUGUUGCAAAGCACAUAUGCAAUUGGUAUCGUCUUGGUAUUAAUAAAUUACAUUGUGUCGGGAAAAAAGAAAUGGGCGUGUCUAUGAUGCGGAGCCAGGAGGCAAUAAAUCUUUAAUUUUCUUAAAGGAAAAUGGUAUGGUUGCUUCUAAAAGUGCAGUGCAGAUUGUGUAAGCUAAGCUCUAACUAGCUAGGAUAAUGUCAGAUUAAUCAAGUGAAAUACUACAUCACACAUGCUUUACAAUUUAUGCUUCUUAAGGAAGCUAUUGUUGAGGCAGAGACCUCCUAUUAAGCAAUUGGUGGUGCCCAGUGUAGUAAUGCUUACCAGAUUAUCAAUAUGCAAACCACGUACGAUAUACCAUAUCAGCUCUGAAUUUUGCACAAAGCUUUCGCUUUGCCGAGUGCACCAGUGAGAGUAUUAGUACUUCCUCUGUUCCGAAUUACUUGUCUUAGAUUUGUCUAGAUACGGAGGUAUCUAGCACUAAAAUAAGUCUAGAUACAUCCGUAUCUAGACAAAUCCAAGACAAGUAAUUUGGACGGAGGGAGUAGCUAGUAGUGGUGUUUUAUAUCAAGUGGAAACCUAGAAAAGCAAACCAACACUACUAGGAGAUAGUGAAGGAUGCGGCCCCGUACCUUCGUGAUCACGGGCAGCAGGUUCCUUGAUGAUGCGACGGUGGUGGUGGGGCGGCGAGGCAGGCCUGUCGUUGUGGGCAUACCGGCUGCGCAUGGCGCCGCCGGCUCGUCCUUGACCCGAUGUAUGAUCUGGACGUCGCGAUUGGGCUGAGGCAACGUCGGCUCGUCCAUGACGCGACGUCCGAUCUAGAUGUGGCGGUGGCGGCGGGGCGACGAGGCAUGCCCCUCGUUUCGGGCGUACCAGCUGUACGGGACCGAGGCCGGCUCGUCCUUGACCCGCCAGAGCGGGGACACCGGCUCAUACUUCACGCGCCGGUGGUGACGGGCCCAUGUGACGGAGCGAACGCUCCAUCAUUAACUCGAUCUGAUGGAUGAAUUCUUCGUCCGUCACAAUGGCCUCCGAGAGGAGACAUGGCCUUUUGACCGACAGAGGGAUAGUGUGGCUCUAUGCGCCGGCGCACGGCUUAAAUAGCCGCGGCCAGGGAAGGGGCGGUCAUCCCGCUUCAGUGUUGCGCUUUGGUUGAAGUCGGUUUCUCGGGACGUGGCGCCUACAUUGAAGCGGCAAACGUCCGAGAGGUCACGUUCGUCAGCGCCACCCUCUCAUCCGGUCAAAUCGCGGGCAUCAAUGAUGGCUGCUGCAUGCUCUAAGGCUGACAUGAAUGCGACAAGGCAAGCGGCGCGGGCGUUUGUUCAAAAGCGCGCGAAAGGAGGGUGGGGGUUUGUAGUAAGACAGGGCAGUCAGACGUGGGCGUGGCAGCGGUCCGAACGCCUACAAACUCGCCGUCUUUUUUGCGGGGGAAAACCAGACGAGUACAAAUCCGAGUUGGAUGGCGGUUCAGAUGUAUGCUGAUGGUUUAAGACUCAGCGUUGAAGAUGCCCUUGAUACUAGUAGAGGAAGCCGACCCUACCAACAACUCUAUAAUAAAUCAGAGCCCGAAGGAAUAGUAUGAGAGAAAAAGGAAGAUGCCCAUGUUCUGAGCUUCGUGUUGCUCGCUUUUCUAAGCUGGAAUCCACGGACUAUUCCCUCGUUCUGUCGGACGCAUAGUCGGGGAUUCUCUUCUGUCGUCCUCGUCGAUGAAACAUGAAUGCAUUACAGAGUGUGAUGUACUAAUUAUGUUCCAGCAGCCUCGAUUAGCGCUUGAUUUCGACACCAAACCGCGCGCCUUUAAUGCAACAAUGGUAGUACUCCACUCGUGCAAACAUGAUGCGGACGCGAGGUCUGAUCCACAUCUCUUGUCGACGUUACGUAGCACUAGAUCAUGGGGCUGCAGGAGACGGGAGUGGGCAGCAUCCCGCUAUUUGGUCUCCGUCCAGCGAAAGAAAGCUUCCCGGCGAGGCGGUUAUACGUCGUCGUCGCGACUUUCUUGUGAGCGCUAAUUGCCAUCACGAGGUUUGUUUAUUUGUGUGACCUGCAAAUAUUUUCAUAAUUUUUGAAGACAAAAUAUUUGCAGGCACACAUCUAUGUUUCAUGUACAACCUUUUUAAUUUCAGCUUCUAAUUCAAACUACACUUAGAAAACCAAAAAAGAAAAAUCAUGUGUGAAUAGUGUCAAACACUAUUCAUCCAAAGCUGACGCUAUUCAUAAUGGAAAUUGUCCUUUUAGAAUCUUGAACUGUACACCGAAUUUUGUGCUGGAUCUCUUUUUUUUUUUUUGAGUUGUAGACAUACCCCACAGGUAUGUUGUAAAAAAAUCUUAAACUUUCGGAUUGUCUAAAUAUGAAAUUUCGACGCUGAUUCUACGAUCUCUCACCUAAAGGGCCCCGAUCCUAUACUAGUCUCCCCCGGAGUAGGAGAUAUGUCAAAUAGUUCGUCUACUCUACUGCACGGCUCAAACGCAGCAUGACAUGAUUACAAACCAAAACCGGCCGGAAGCGAGUAAGCAGGCCAGCAGAUCGACAGGCAUUGGUGCAUUUCCCUGAGCGCAUAUUGGCACCAACGACUCGACGGAUCUCAACUUCUCAAGAGGCUGGGUAGAAUAGCACACCACACACAAGUACACCACUCAUGACACUAACCAUCACGAGUCCCCUCCAUAUCCUCCCGUCAUCCGUGAAGCUACGUAUCUCCCAGUGGCAGCAUCCACACACGGGCACGGCCCCGGCCGGAGACCCGACGGCACAUGAAAUGCCAUCAUGCAUUCAUGCGUCCCUUACGUAGGUACGUACGCGCAUGGCGUGUCCCAUCGAUCUCGCCUCACUCAUAAGCCAGCCAGCUGCUCGAGCUCCAUCGAUCAUCCUCGGCCUCGGUCGGGGCGCGCGGAUGCCGCCCGGCGCACGCGGCGGAGCCGAGCAGACUAAAACCGGCCGGCGAGAUCGCCAUCAUCAGUGCACCUUUUGCGCGCCGGCCGCUGCUAGGCUCGUCAAUCAUGUCCCUCCGCUCUCGCCGUCUCGGCCGACGCUCCUCACCCCAAAAGUUGGCGGUAGCUUUUGUCUUUGCGAGCCCCUCUCUCUCCCGUCGUCAUCACCAGCCGUGCCCCUGCCGUGCGCGACCUACACCAGCAACAGCUCCACUCUCUCCGAGACUCCGGCCACGGGCGGGACCGGCGCCAUGCAUGCAUGCGCUCGGCUCGAUUAGUGUCUCUACGACCGACGCAGUGGUAGGGAUAAUUCCUAGUAGAAAAGGACUUGAGAGAAGCAGGGCAGGGUAGGGUAGGGCGGGCGCAUAUACACCAUGGAUGGUUUGACCUUGGACAAAGGAGCAAACAACAAUGCGUUUGUCUCACCGCAGCUGCCGCCUCACAUAUGCUCAGCCUGGGCCUGGCACACAGUAGCAUGUGUUACUUUGGCCUGUCAAAACGCCGGAGUAUCAGCUAGUAAUCCAUGUGGCUCCGUCUGUUUACUGGCAUAAACUACUGUGCAUACAGCCAUGCUCUGUCAGAGACUUAUCUCGAUCGAUAGCAGUAGCAGAGGACGAGGCACCCCGGCUGCUGCUCUGCACAUUUGAACGGUAGCCCUUCUGCAUGCAAACUGACACCAAACGGUCCUGGUUAACCCUUGCAUAGUUUUCGGCUAGAGAGAUAGGUUAAAGAAAUAGACACGUACUGUACUACGUUAACUGCACAUCAAGAACCAGUGCUUCGAUCACCAUCGAUCUAUCUUGUUCGUUCACAGUGGUAAAUCUGACAUUUCGACCUUGGAUCAACCCGUCCACUCUAAUCGAAAUCAGGUCAUCAGCUGUUGUGUGGCCUAAGCCAUCCACAUCAUGGUGCCGGCCGGGCUUCAACUUGAAGGUCAGAUUGGACGGUGCCAUCAAUCGGUCAUCGGAUGGCUGUUCCUGAUCACCCGUUUCGCUACGUCCCUAUUCGACGGCUGAGAUUCUGGUACAUCCCAAUGAUGCCGAUGAAUCUACAAAUCAUUGCCCGUCGUGUUCGUGGUGUACCUGAGAUGGACCGAAUCAUCAUGUGCUUACAGAGAAAACUUUUCUGCAAGUUCGUGGGGUCAUAUCAGAUCGGAGAUAAACAAAGAAGGAAGACCACAUGGACAUGGACACGAGUUGGAUGGAAUGCAACGUUGUGCGCAGGGCAGGACGAUCGAUGUGGCCGGUCGGUUUCCCGUCGAUCAGACAGUGUGAUGUGGUAGUGGUGGUGGUGCAGGGACGCGCGCUUGUCCCUCGACACGGCGAGUUCCAUCCACGGGGUGCAUGCGGGUGAUGAUGGUCUCGACAUGGAAGAACAUGCAUUGUGCUUGACUUGACGUGCGUGCUGGAGCUGAUGCGAAUAGUCUGCUAAUUAAGCAGUGUGCUAGCUGCUCGUGUUCUUGGGCCAGUUCCAUCAACGCCAUGGAAUGCACUGUGACUGGCUAAGUAUACUAAGGCGAAGAGGAGGCACCUCUUAAAAUGAAAUAAGGUUGUUUUCGCCUAGCCCAGUCCAGCGGUGGCUCUGUGUGGUCGGAAGGCGUGUGAAGGUGUCUCUCCGGUGAAUCUUACGGGAUUCGGUUAGUGUUUGGACCUGCUUGGUUCUGAUCUUUGUUCGCCUACGUCCGUGUGUCUAGCUGUUGGAUUUUUUUUCGAUCUACGUUUCCCAUCAUCGACGAUGGUAGUUGUUCUUGUGCGCUGGUUCUUUUGGGCCUCAGCACGAUAACUUCCUUGUUGUAUACUACGACAUGGUUUGCCCCGACUCCAAUGAGGGAGGGGUGAUGACGAUGGGACGUCAUCGGCUCGCUUCAGUGCUUGUAGUCGUUGAUAGGUGGUCUAUGCACUUAGACAUAACUUCGGGUCCUUCUAUUGUAAUUUGUACUGUCAUGAUGUUUGAUGAAUAGAUAAAGAAAAUAUUGGAAAAUAGUCAACUAGGGUCGUUUAGAAUUUUGAGAUUAAAACUAAACUAGAAUAAAUGAGGGUCCCAGAGUUUUUCUUAAGUUUUGGGACGACUAUGACUAUAUGCAUGAUCGAACUGGUAAAAUUUAUGUUUGUUUUGUUAUACACAACUGCAAGGAUUGCUUGGCAAUAUUUCUUUUAACGAAGGCAAAAGUUUUACCUCAUCCAUUAAUUAGGAAGUACUUACAUAGUUAAUGAGUGAAAAACCGGGCAAAAACCAUCACAAUGGCAACACGGGGCAACCACGAGCAACCUGCUUACCCACAUGUAUACACACACACCCUCAAGAAGAAAGCACUGUCAAGAUUGCCAUCAAGCGUCAUAGUUAUAUCUCCUUCACGAGCCAGCGACUCCGAUUUCACCGUAGACAACCACCAACGGAGCGCUCACCACAACAGACGUCAAAAUCCAUGCCUGUCCAUGAUAACCAGACGGCCACCCACGCAAUCGACCAGACAACUCUAAAACGGGCAACGAACCUUGUAGAGAAAAGCCCCAAGCUUGUGCCAACAGGGCCUUUGCAACCGAACCCAUGUGUCUUGUGUCACCGUCACCGCUGAGGCGGCUUCUCUGCACUUCCAACUCUACAAAGACACUACGAGGCAAAGGAACCCCUCAAACAUGCUGAAAUAUAAUGCUUCAAUGUGGAGCAUGUCACUUUAGGAGUACAUGUCUUUAGAGGUCCAUAACUCUCUCCGGAUUAUUUAUUCAUACUAGAUGAUGCCUCGCGUGUUGUCGCGGGUACCGUGUUAAAAGAAAUGUAUAAAUAGUUGCUAAAAAUAACUAUUUUAAUGGAAAACCAAUGUGAACUUAAUAAAAACAUAAAAAAACAUACGAGUAUCUAAAAGAGGAAAAAACUUUCGAGUUGCAGCCAAAAGAAUAUUAUUUCUCACAAAAAUAUGAAGGUUGAACUACAUAGGUAUGUUGCAAUCGCCCAACACAUGUAUUGUCCAUCAGAAUACAAAAGCUAAUGGAAGAAAUUUCUUAUGUCUAAGAUGCAUGAAUUGAUGAUGUGGUAGUGUUGCAUGCAUAGACUAAUGCCAAAAAUAUAUUAUUCAUGACUUAAAUGCAAGGUUUGCUUAUGUGACAUGAUUGCAUGGCUAUGAAAAAUAUGGCAUAGUUGCAUGGCUAGAACAAAUAGGUAGUGGUUUGUAGCUAGGAAUAGAGGAUUGGUGCCAAUGUGGUCUUUUUAGGCUAUUUGGUUGUGCCAAGAUGACUAGUGUUUGACAACAAAAAACCAUCCUUUUUAUGUAGGUUAUAUGCUUUUGUGUAUCACCCAGUUGUGAUCGUGAGCGUUUAUGACAAGAUUAGUCGUAUUGGUUGUCUUUAUUUUUAUUUUAUAAUUUUGGUUGUGUGCAUCAUCGUCUUUAUAUUAAAAUAUUAUCCUUUGUCAGAAAAAAAAUUGGAACGUGUGUAUGAUGCAGAGCCAGGAGGCAAUCAAUCUUUCAUUUUCUUAAAUGGAAAUGGUAUGGUCGCCUCUAAAAAAUGCAGUGCAGAUUGUGUAAGCUAAGCUCUAGCUAGGUGGGAUAAUAUCAGAUUAAUCAAGUGAAAUACUACAUCACACAUGCUUUACAAUUUAUGCUUUUUAAGGAAGCUAUUGUUGACACAGAGACCUCUUAUUAAGCAAUUGGUGGUGCCCAAUGUAGUAAUGCUUACCAAAUCAUCAAUAUGAAAACCACGUACGAUAUAUCAUAUCCGUUCUGAAUUUUGAAGAAAGUUUUCACUUUGCCGAGCUCAUCAGCGAGGAUUAGUAGCCAGUAGUGUUUUGUAUCGAGUGGAAGCCUAGAAAAGCAAACCAACACUACUAGCUAAUUGCGCUGCUAUGGGACUAAUAGGAUAUGGACCUGGUGCCUUUUACACUUUUAAUGAUUAGAUUACGAGAAGUUUAUGUAAAGCACGAACCGAUUUGCGCCGCUCUGCCCCUAGCUUACUCUGCUUUACCCCACAAGCGUGAGUAUAUGAUGCCUUUUGCAAGCCAAAUAGCUAACUAUUUAUAGGAGAUGGUUAAGAUAUGCACAACAUAAGAAUGGCCAACAUAAGAAACAAGAUAAGAAUGGCCAAGAAAAACUGCUAAUUUCCCCCCUAAGGAAACAGAUUAAGGUGCAUUCAUGUCGAAGAAAACUUGCGUUUUGGUUCCAUCACUGAUUUCGGAUGAUUCUUGCUCAAACAUUCGAAGCUUCAAAUCAGGAGUCUCUCUCUCCUCCACUCCUUGCAAUCAUCGUGCGUGUGAUGCCGGUGUGGCACAACAGAGCUUUCAUACACCCAUCAAUCAUGUUUGCAGCACAGCACAACAAGUUGCCUAUGCUUUUCACCCUUGUGUUUCAACCUUGUGCUGGACAAGAUUCUCUAUGCACGCAUCGUACGCCCUCUGUAAGGGAGUAGAUGAGUCGGGCUGGUUUCUCAUAACAACUCAGCCUAGCUAGUGCGUGGCUCUCCUAGAAUAUACAGACAAUUAGGAGCAGAGAGUUCAUGCUGCACAAUUAAUGGUUAAUCAGACGAGCAAUGAUGAAAGAACAAAUAUAUCAAGAGAGUGACGAGCAAUGUUGAAGCUUACUCUGCAGCAGAAACGGAAAGCAAGUGCCAACCAGAAGGAGCCCACAGUUUGACCUGAGGACACCUGAAGGAAGUCCCACUUCCAAAUAUAUGAACCUCCCGAGUGAUGCUNNNNNNNNNNNNNNNNNNNNNNNNNNNNNNNNNNNNNNNNNNNNNNNNNNNNNNNNNNNNNNNNNNNNNNNNNNNNNNNNNNNNNNNNNNNNNNNNNNNNNNNNNNNNNNNNNNNNNNNNNNNNNNNNNNNNNNNNNNNNNNNNNNNNNNNNNNNNNNNNNNNNNNNNNNNNNNNNNNNNNNNNNNNNNNNNNNNNNNNNNNNNNNNNNNNNNNNNNNNNNNNNNNNNNNNNNNNNNNNNNNNNNNNNNNNNNNNNNNNNNNNNNNNNNNNNNNNNNNNNNNNNNNNNNNNNNNNNNNNNNNNNNNNNNNNNNNNNNNNNNNNNNNNNNNNNNNNNNNNNNNNNNNNNNNNNNNNNNNNNNNNNNNNNNNNNNNNNNNNNNNNNNNNNNNNNNNNNNNNNNNNNNNNNNNNNNNNNNNNNNNNNNNNNNNNNNNNNNNNNNNNNNNNNNNNNNNNNNNNNNNNNNNNNNNNNNNNCGAGUGAUCGAAUUCCUUUUUUCCUACCAGUAAGGGAGUAGAUGAGUCGGGCUGGUUUCUCAUAACAACUCAGCCUAGCUAGUGCGUGGCUCUCCUAGAAUAUACAGACAAUUAGGAGCAGAGAGUUCAUGCUGCACAAUUAAUGGUUAAUCAGACGAGCAAUGAUGAAAGAACAAAUAUAUCAAGAAAGUGACGAGCAAUGUUGAAGCUUACUCUGCAGCAGAAACGGAAAGCAAGUGCCAACCAGAAGGAGCCCACAGUUUGACCUGAGGACACCUGAAGGAAGUCCCACUUCCAAAUAUAUGAACCUCCCGAGUGAUGCUCCUACCACUCGAGUGAUCGAAUUCCUUUUUUCCUACCAGUGCAUGGGCGGUGAGUAUGCAUGCAUGGGUAUAUCCCACAAUCUCGUGCAACCGAUGGAAGCCGAUCCGGUUGAUGCAUGCACGCACGAAACAAAUCACCUGAGGACGUGCCAAGGUGUUGCUAAGUGCACACUCAUGAACCCCCACAAAAGGCACCCACCUCCUCCUCUUGGGUUGAGUGGAAGCUUCACUACAACACACACAUAAUACAGGUGCCCCGGUCCGACGGAGGCACUCCCCUCGAGUCGUUGCGGGAAGGGCUUGAGCGUGGCCUCGCCUUCAAGCGUUGGGCUCGAGGAAGAUGCUACCGUUGCCUUGUGCGUGGCCACCAAGUGAGUGGAUGCCAUGGACCAUUCAGAUGCAUUCGUUGUCGUCGCCCUGGUCAUAGGGAGAGAUUCUGUUGUGCUCGCUCUCCGGUUGCUCCAGAUCGCUCUCCGGUUGCUCGAGAUUGCUCUCCAGUCGCUCGCGUUGGCUCUUCGGUCACUCGCGCUCCAUGCCAGCCGAGCCGCUCCCCGUCCGUCCAGGCUUGUACUUCGCUGACUAGGAGUUGGGCAGAGGUCGUGGGCCGUUCGUCGUUGCGUGUGUCGGUGCCGCCAAGGUCCCAAUCUGGGUGUUGUAAGGAUUCCAAUGUCAGUGUCUUUUUGGACUCUACUUUUGAAUCCCAGCUUGCCUUGCUUCGCACGGAGCUCCUUCAAAAGAUUGAGUUGUUUCGCACUGAGCUUCACGACGCACUUGCCAAACUUGAGGUUGUGUCGGUUGUGCCUUUGUUGCCUGAGCUCUCGAUUGGUUCCAUUGAGGAGGCUGAAUGCCUCUUCGGAGAUUUUUCUCCUCGUGCUCUACAUGUGACGCCGUCUUCCCCGGUGAGUGGGGUCACCUCCGAGGUUGUGGCUCCAAUUAUGCAGAUUAUGCCUGAGUUGCAGGAGCUUUGUGGGGAAUCAUCUAUGGUGUUACCGAUGGAGCUGGGCUCAUUGGAGUCCUUGGUGGUGGCCAUGACACCCUCGCUACCUCAAUCGCCCGCCUUUGUGAACAAUGGAGACUUGGUUGGUUCUAUCACUGCCUCAUCUAUGGCCAUUGGGCAUGUGGCGUCUUUCAGUGGAGAGGUUGAUGAGACAUGUGUGUUGGCACCUAACUCUGAGCAAGUGGAGACGCCUGAGUCCAUCGUGUCAGUGAUACCUGUGACUGAUGAUGUUGAGGCGGUUGGUACAUUGGCGUCCGAUCCUUCUGAGCCCAACCAACAGCUCGCCCGUGUGGAGCGUGGAGGCUCCGAUGUUACGGGCACCCACUCGCACGUGAUUGUUGGGCAGGUUUCUAUGCGUGACAAGGUCAAUGAGAUUCUCUUUCAGAUAGAGCUUCACAGCUUGCUCAAACGUUUGGAGAGGAUGAGCCCUGGAUCUGGCAAGGCGAUUGUGGAGGAGGCUCUCACGAGCAAAGGAAAGAAGAGUGGCGUCAUAGAAAAGGCGUCCGCAACUAAUUGAUGGAUGGUUAUCAGUCUAUUGGGUUGUCCUUAUGGCUUGACUUGUCUUCGUUGAUUUGGGUGUGCCCGUGGUCUUCGGCCGAGUUACUCUUGUUAGGGUGUCUUUGCGAUGUAUUGGUGGUCGUUAGGUGUGGUUGGCCUGUAUCGGUUUUCGCCUGGUUUUCCAUUAAUUAACUGGGCAAUUCUCCUCUGCUUAAUUAAUCGAUGAGGCAAAUCUUUUGCCGACGUUUCGAAAAAAAUAAUAAUACAGGUGAUGCGUGCGUGUGUGGCCGUGCUGUUGCAACGCUGUUGUAGCCCCAGCUCAAUCCAUCAAUUUUCCAAUACCAAACGCUGUUAUUACAAUAGAUAUAUGUGCUUGCCUUGGGUCCCUUUGGUCCCUUGUUUUGGGGUUGAGCCGCUAGCUCUCCUUGUUGAGCCCCACUGCUACUCUCGAGAAAGAGCUCAUCAUUCCUUCGUUCGUGGCCUCUACAACAACUUUGAUGGGUAGCCGUGCACCGAACUGCGCUUGUGCAUCUAUUCUAGUGUGCCGACGGCGACGAAGAACGGCGACUGGCGCGGUGCACGAGGAGGACGGACGGCGGUUGCGGCGUCUUGGUUUGACCGGCCGGCGAGAGGGGGGCCGUGUACGUACGUGUCACGGGAUAAUAGACGAGAUGGGCUCGACGGCUCGGCGUCGGCGGAGACAUGCCCAGGAAUCGCCGGGGUGGCCGCCCUCUUGUCCCGCUAAAGGAAGAUGCGUUUCGUGUAUACUGUGCUACUUUGCACAUUAGUUUAGUCGUUUCAUUCAAUCAACACGUACGGUGAAGAAUAAGACCAAUGCAAGCUGGAAAUUGUUCCUUUUUCUCCGUGUCUGUGCGCGGAGAAGACAAAGAAAAGAGAGGGAAGAUGGACAGCAACGAGUAGACGACAUGAAGUUGUGGCACCUACAGUGUCCUAAGUGAGUGGCACCUCCAGCAAGCAGCGCAGGGACACGGAUGCCCAGCAUGUUUGCAGCACCGGCUCUCGGGAUCGCUCCCUGACGAGGAAAAGAUAUCCCCGACCGAUAUCAUAUCACAGAGUGGCAACAGCAGGCUGAUCGGCCACUAGACUGCGAAACGCGUGUGAUCACCAGGCCGGUUCUGUCCGUCGGUACGUACAAUACAAGUACUCUACAACCUGCGGCCGGCCGGCCAGAUCACAGGGCCUGCCCACAACAGGACUAGUAAUAAUUAAACACCGGUGAUGGGUUGUGCAGGGCUACCGAGCAUGCUCCUACUAUUAUCCUACUGAAUUUUUCAGAAUUUUCUGUAUCACGUACAUUUGAAUUUUGUGACAUGGUAACACGUAUCACAGGAUGUUUUUCCUCUCCUACUCCUAGUAGGAUGCGUCGUCUCAACACUGACUAGUCUGAACAUACUCCCUCGACAGAUGCAGCACUCGCUCGCUGAUUCCGUAUCCAUGUAGACGUAGGAGUAGGUCAGGCUAUGCCUAUGCAGAGCUAGUGCAGUGUCGAGGAAUGAGAGAUUGGUUCAUGGCGAUCCCAAGAAGGCACUGCUGAGAUGCGACGCGAGUUGCGAGGCCACUUGUUUCGGUUGCUCGCUCGAAUCUCAAAGGAAGCAAGAGAAGAUCUGUAUGGGGCUGCUAGGCUAUGGCUUCUCUACAUGCACUAGCGGGAGAUCCAUUUGUUACUUUACUUGCGUCAAACUUGGAUGGAAGGGGAGUCCAUAUUUGGGAGAUCCGCAAAGUAAUAAAGCGGCCAAAAACAAAAGAGGAUCCUUCCAUUCUUUCCACCAAAAUAUCACUCACUACAUGUAGAGGAAGAGGUCUGAUCCCGAUCCCUUGUCGAUGUUACGCAGCACCAGACAGAUCAUGGGGCUACAGGAGACGCGAGUGGCCGGCAUCCCGCCAUUUGUUCUCCGUCCAGCGAAAGCUUCCCGGCGAGGCGAGGCGAUUAUACGUCGCCGUCGCGACUUUCUCGUGAGCGCUAUUCGCCAUCACGAGGUUCGUUUGUUCAUGUGACAAGUCACGGGGGCGGAAGCAGAUGUUUCACAACGAGAUCCUUUACGGUACACUGACUGUAAUGGAUGUAAUCACAAUGGAUUGGCUGUCACCGUGCAGUGAGAAAGAUGAGAGAUGAUGGAUCGGAGAUUUUUGUCGCAAAAAAUGCUUUACGCGUACGUCCGCUCAACAGGGAUGAGCUGGUUGUGGUGUGCCGGCACGGGUGAGACGUGCGAAUGCGGACAGCGGCAGUGGCAUGGCAUGGCAUGGGCCUCCUCCUCCCAUGCCGGCCGGCAAACAUGCAUGCAUACACGGCGUACGCGCGAGCGCGCGCACGGACACGCUAUCUGUUGGGCGGCUGCUGGUCACCACCGGCGAGCGCCGAAAGCGUGCGAGCAGUACAAUACGACUGCCCUCCAAUGGCAUGGCGCGCUGUGCGGCUGUGCCCUCCCGUGUGGUACGACGCCGCGCGGGUCCGGCUGAUGACUGCUUUGCGCUGCCUCUACGGCUAUGGGCCGGCGCGUACCACCUAGUUUGGCUCCGUCCUCAGAUUGGCUCCUGGAUAUGACGCUGAAAUGCCCGCCGCAGCGUACUAGUUGUGGCGGGGAGUACUACCAUCUCUCUAUCCUUUUCUCAAGAAAUGUGUACUGGGUACUGACCGUCCCUUAUUCGGCGCAUAGGUGCUUUGCCUAUCAAGUGUAGUACUCCCGCCGUUUCUAAAUAUAAGUUUUUUUUUCUAAAGAUUCCAAUGCCGGCUACGUAUGGAGCAAAAUAAGUGAAUCUACGCUUUACAAUAUAUCUAUAUACAUUCGUAUGUAGCGAAAAUACAAAGGUGAACAUGGUCUCACGCGCACCCACGUGAAUAGUAAAUUCAUAAAAAAAAUACUCAAAAAGUUUUUAAAAAUUCUGAGAUUUUAUAGUAUGAAACUUAGUCGAACAUUCUGCUCGCGCGUGAAGAUUCGUGGUGUAUUGACACUCAUGGUAUUCUUAGUGAAGAAAAAUACAAUUGUGACCAUAUUAUUCAUCAAAUAGUGUUUUUUAAUAUACCUUCUAUUUUGUUAUGUUUGCCUGGUUUACCACGGAUGUGAUUGCUUCAUGAAUCUUCAUACGCGGGUAUACCGGUUGACUGUAUAUUACAAAAAUAAAAUUUGAUUUUUUUAGCAUUUUUUCAAAUUUACUAUUCGGAAGGGGUGCGUGUGGAACCAUGUUCACCAAAUCUGCAACACGUAUCUAGUCCGUAUUGAAAUCUUUUAAAAAGUCUUAUAUUUAGAAACAGAGGGAGUAGUAACUGGAUUUUGGCUUUUGCCAGUCAGGGAAUCGAAUCAUUUGGAUGAGAAAUAAUUACGGUUCUAUCUAAUUCCUACACCACUAGGUUUUACAUGGAGAUUCAUAGGGAUUCUUUUCUUUUAUUUCUUUGUAUGGUUAAUCAAGUAGUGUAGGAGUUAGACGAGACUUUGUUAAUUCUCGUCUAGAUGAGAAUUAGCAAAUCCGAAUAAUUACAAACAUGAUGAAAAUCACCAAAGAGAACAAAAGUAAGAAAAAUUGAUCUACCGGAUAGCAAUAGUUAAUGGAACAUGAUCACUAUUAAUAAGCUGACUGGAAACAUAUUCCUUCCUAUCAAAUAAUGUUUCAUGCCUGAAAUAUGUGACCCGUCGAACAAAGUUUUGCAUUACAUUCCACAUUAUAUCACAUGCAAGCUCAACCCUUGCAAAGGAGGAACAUUACCAUGGUCGGUCGUUUAUCACAUCACCCCGCUCGUGGUACCCUUUGAUAUGUUGAGCAGUGUCAACAAGAUUGAGCUUCCUUUUCUCUCGUCGGCAAAAGAUAAAACAACCGGUGCAACAUUUGAAGUCAACUGGGAGGCUGUUUCCGCCCCACCCACCUCGGUGGGCCUGGGAUACUCGAUACAUCCUAAACAUAUCAACUUUUCGAAACAUUUUUGCUCUUAUUUUGGUCUCUAAUUUGCAUGACUUUAGUUAAACUAACCCUGACUGACGUUGUUUUUAGUAUAAUUACCAUAGUGUUUGAUACGUCUCCGUCGUAUCUACUUUUUCAAGCAUUUUUGCCCUUGUUUUGGACUCUAACUUGCAUGAUUUGAAUGGAACUAACCCGGACUGACACUGUUUUCAGCAGAAUUGCAAUGGUGUUAUUUAUAUGCAGAAACAAAAGUUCUUGGAAUGACCUGAAACUUCACGGAACAUAUAUUCAGAAAUAAUAAAAAAUCCUUGCAAAAGAUGAAGACCAGGGGGCCCACCACCUGUCCACGAGGGUGGGGGGCACGCCCCCCUACCUCGUGGGCCCCCUGGAGCUCCUCCGACCUCAACUCCAACUCUAUAUAUUUGGUUUCGGAGAGAAAAAAUCAGAGAGAAGAAUUCAUCGCGUUUUACGAUACGGAGCCGCCGCCAAGCCCUAAAACCUCUCGGGAGGUGAUGUCUACUACACAACCUUCUUCUUGUAGACGUUGUUGGGCCUCCAAGUGCAGAGGUUUGUAGGACAGUAGCAAAUUUCCCUCAAGUGGAUGACCUAAGGUUUAUCAAUCCGUAAGAGGCGUAGGAUGAAGAUGGUCUCUCUCAAGCAACCCUGCAACCAAAUAACAAAGAGUCUCUUGUGUCCCCAACACACCCAAUACAAUGGUAAAUUAUAUAUGUGCACUAGUUCGGUGAAGAGAUGGUGAUACAAGUGCAAUAUGGAUGGUAGAUAAAGGUAUUUGUAAUCUGAAAAUAUAAAAACAGCAAGGUAACUAAUGAUAAAAGUGAGCGUAAACGAUAUUGCAAUGAUAGGAAAUAAGGCCUAGGGUUCAUACUUUCACUAGUGUAAGUCCUCUCAACAAUACUAACAUAAUUGGAUCAUAAAAUUAUUCCUCAACAUGCAACAAAGAGUCACUCCAAAGUCACUAAUAGCGGAGAGCGAACGAAGAGAUUAUGGUAGGGUACGAAACCACCUCAAAGUUAUUCUUUCCAAUCAAUCCGUUGGGCUAUUCCUAUAAGUGUCACAAACAGCCUUAAAGUUCGUACUAGAAUAACACCUUAAGAUAUAAAUUAACCAAAACCCUAAUGUCACCUAGAUACUUCAAUGUCACCUCAAGUAUCCGUGGGCAUGAUUAUACAAUAUGCAUCACACAAUCUCAAUUCAUCUAUUCAACCAACACAAAGAACCUCAAAGAGUGCCCCAAAGUUUCUACCGGAGAAUCACGACGAAAACGUGUGCCAACCCCUAUGCAUAGGUUCUCAAUGUCACGAAAACCCGCAAGUUGGUCACCAAAACGUACAUCAAGUGGCACGUGGUAUCCCAUUGUCACCACAGAUAUCCACGGCAAGACAUACAUCAAGUGUUCUCAAGUCUUUAAAGACUCAAUCCGAUAAAAUUACUUCAAAGGGGAAACUCGAUUCAUUACAAGAAAGAAGAGGGGGGAAGAAACAUCAUAGGAUCCAAAUAUAAUAGCAAAGCUCGCGAUACAUCAAGAUCGUAUCAUCUCAAGAACACGAGAGAGAGAGAGAGAGAGAGAGAGAGAGAUCAAACACAUAGCUACUGGUACAUACCCUCAGCCCCGAGGGAGAACUACUCCCUCCUCGUCAUGGAGAGCACCGGGAUGAUGAAGAUGGCCAUCGGAGAAGGAUUGCCCCCUCCGGCAGGGUGCUGGAACGGGUCUAGAUUGAGUUUCGGUGGCUACGGAGGCUUCUGGUGGCGGAAUUAGGUUUUUUGCUCCGUCCUUGGUCUAAUGGUGGUACGUAGGUAUAUAUAGGAGGAAGGAGCACGUCGGUGGAGCUCCGAGGGGCCCACGAGGCAGGGGGCGCGCCCAGGGGGGCGCCCUCCACCCUCGUGACCUCCCCGGAAACUUCUCGGAGUAGGGUCCAAGUCUCCUGGAUCACGUUCGGUGAGAAGAUCACGUUCCCGAAGGUUUCAUUCCGUUUGGACUCGUUUGAUAUUCUGUUUCCUCGAAAUACUGAAAUAGGCAAAAAACAACAAUUCUGGGUUGGGCCUCCGGUUAAUAGGUUAGUCCCAAAAAUAAUAUAAAAGUGGAAAAUAAAGCCCAAUAUAGUCCAAAACAGUAGAUGAAGUAGCAUGGAGCAAUCAAAAAUUAUAGAUACGUUGGAGACGUAUCAGGCAUCCCCAAGCUUAAUUCCUGCUCGUCCUCGAGUAGGUAAAUGAUAAAAAGAGAAUUUUUGAUGCGGAGUGAUACUUUGGCAUAAUUUCAAUGUAAAUCUUCUUAAUCAUGGUAUGAAUAUUCAGAUCCGAAAGGUUCAAGACAAAAGUUCAUAUUGACAUAAAGAAUGAUAAUACUUCAAGCAUACUAAUCAAACAAUUAUGUCAUCUCAAAAUAACAUGGCCAAAGGAAGUUCAUCCCUACAAAAUCAUAUAGUUAGGCUAUGCUUCAUUUUUGUCACACAAAGAUGUUCCCAACUUCUAUACCCCCGAUGACAAGCCAAGCAAUUGUUUUAUACUCAAAUAAUCUCAAACUUUUUCAACCUUCACGCAAUACAUGAGCACGAGCCAUGGACAUAGCACUAUGGGUGGUAUAGAAUAUGAUGAUGGGGAUUGUGUGGAGAAGACAAAAAAGGAGAAAGUCUCACAUCAACGAGGCUAAUCAAUGAGCUAUGGAGAUGCCCAUCAAUUGAUGUUAAUGCAAGGAGUAGGGAUUGCCAUGCAACGAAUGCACUAGAGCUAAGAAUGCUCAACAAAAGAAAACUAGUGGGUGUGCAUCCAACUUGCUUGCUCAUGAAGACCUAGGGCAUUUUGAGGAAGCCCAUCGUUGGAAUAUACAAGCCAAGUUCUAUAAUGAAAAAUUCCCACUAGUAUGAACAAGACAACUUAUGAGACUCACUAUAUGAAAAUCAUGGUGCUACUUUGAAGCACAAUAUAUGAGACUCACUACAUGAAGAACAAGGUGCUACUUUGAAGCACAAGUGUGGAAAAAGAGAUAGUAGCAUUGCCUUUUUUAUUUUCUCUUUUUUUGGGCCUUUCUUUUUUUCUUUUUGGCCUUUCUCUCUUUUUUUGAUUGGGCAAUGCUCUAAUAAUGAUGAUCAUCACACUUCUAUUGAUUACAACAUAAUGAUUACAACUCAAUACUAGAACAAGAUAUGACUCUAUAUGAAUGCCUCCGGUGGUGUACCGGGAUGGUGCAAUGAAUCAAGAGUGACAUGUAUGAAAAAUAAUGCAUGGUGGCUUUGCCACAAAUAUGAUGUCAACUACAAGAUCGUGCAAUGGCAAUAUGACAAAAAUAAAGCAUGUCAUGAUGAUGAUGGUGAUGAUGAUGGAAGUUGCAUGGCAAUAUAUCUCGGAAUGGCUAUGGAAAUGUCAUGAUAGGUAGGUAUGGUGGCUGUUUUGAGGAAGAUAUAGAGAGGUUUAUAUGUGAAAGAGCGUAUCAUAUCACGGGGUUUGGAUGCACCGGCGAAGUUUGCACCAACUCUCAAUGUGAGAAAGGGCAAUGCACGGUACCGAAGAGGCUAGCAAAUGGCGGAAAGGUAAAAGUGCGUAUAAUCCAUGGACUCAACAUUAGUCAAAAGAACUCAUAUACUUAUUGCAAAAAUUUAGAAGUCAUCAAAAAUCAAGUACUACGCGCAUGCUCCUAGGGGGAUAGAUUGGUAGGAAAAGACCAUCGCUCGUCCCCGACCGCCACUCAUAAGGAUGCACAAGCCAGAUACACUUCAUGCUUCAAAUUUGUUACACAACUUUAACCAUACGUGCAUGCUACGGGACUUGCUAACUUCAACACAAAUAUUUCUCAAACUCACAACUACUCAACUAGCACGACUAUGAUAUUAUCACCUCCAUAUCUCAAAACAAUUAUCAAGCAUCAAACUUAUCUUAGUAUUCAACCCACUAAAAAGAAAGUUUCACAUAUCUUGAAUACCAAGUAUAUUAACAUUAAGCAAAUUACCAUGCUAUUAACGACUCCCAAAAUAAUCUAAGUGAAGCAUGAGAGAUCAAGUUUCUUUAAAAUAAACCACCACCGUGCUCUAAAAGAUCUAAGUGAAGCACUAGAGCAAAAAUUAUCACGCUCAAAAAGAUAUAAGUGAAGCACAUAGAGUAAACUAUUAAGCUCAAAAGAUAUAAGUGAAGCACAUAGAGUAUUCUAACAAAUUUCAAUUCAUACAUGGCUCUCUCAAAAGGUGUGUACAGAAAGGAUGAUUGUGAUAGACUAACAAGCAAAGACACAAAUAAUACAAGACGCUCCAAGCAAAACACAUAUCAUGUGGUGAAUAAAAAUAUAGCUCCAAGUAAAUUACCGAUGGAAGUGGACGAAAGAGGGGAUGCCUUCCGGGGCAUCCCCAAGCUUUGACUUUUUGGUGUCCUUGGAUUAUCUUGGGGGGUCCAUGGGAAUCCCCAAGUUUAGGCUCUUGCCACUCCUUGUUCCAUAAUCCAUCAAAAGAAUUCACCCAAAACUUGAAAACUUCACAACACAAAACUCAACAAAAAACUCGUAAGCUCCGUUAGUAUAAGAAAAUAAAUCACCACUUCAAGGUACUAUAAUGAACUCAUUCUUCAUUUAUAUUGGUGUUAAACCUACUGUAUUCCAACUUCUCUAUGGUUUAUAAACUAUUUUACUAGCCAUAGAUUCAUUAAAAAUAAGCAAACAACACACGAGAAACAGAAUCUGUCAAAAACAGAACAGUCUGUAGUAAUCUGGAUCAAACGUAUACUUCUGGAACUCAUAAAAUUCUCAAAUAAAUUACUGGACCGUAGGAAUUUAUCUAUUAAUCAUCUUCAAAAAGAAUUAACUAAAUAGCACUCUCCGAAUAAAAAUGGCAGCAGUUCUCGUGAGCGCUAAAGUUUCUGUUUUUUACAGCAUGAUCAACAAGACUUUACCCAAGUCUUUCCAAAGGUUCUACUUGGCACAAACACUAAUUAAAACAUAAAAACACAUCUAAACAGAGUAUAGAUGAAUUAUUUAUUACUAAACAGGAGCAAAAGUGAAAGUGCAACUAUCCCUAGGUGGUUUUGGUAAUUCAUAACAACAUAUAGCUCAUUGAGCUAAUGCUAUUCCAAGAUGACUAUUUCAGGAAAGCUCAAUGAUUGGCAUGGCAUGGAUGUGAAAGUGGAACCCUCAAAAUGCUAAGGACAAAGGAUUGGCUCGAGCUCAAAAUCUCAAGACUCUUUAUUUUAUAUUUUAGUGAUCCAAGAUCACAUUGAGUCUUUAGGAAAAGCCAAUACUAUCAAGGAGGGAUGAGGUGUUGCUUAAUGAGCCUCUUGCUUCAUGUGCUUAGUGAUAUGCUCCAAAAUCCUCAACUAAUUUGACACUUCCACAUAUGACCUAAACCCUAAGCCAAACUCGGUCCUACCGAUUCUUUCUAUCCAGCGCCACCGAGUUUUACUUGUCAUAAGCCACUGCCAAACCCUAGCAAUUCGGUUCUACCGAUAGGGAUCUCGGUCUCACCGAGAUGGGAUUGCAAACUCUAUGUUUCCUUUUCGUAACUUUUCGGUCUCACCGAAAGAGCGAAUCGGUCCCACCGAGAUUGCAAUGUAAACUCUAUGUUUCCCUUUUGUAACUUUUCGGUCUCACCGAAAGAGCAAAUCGGUCCCACCGAGUUUACCUGACCAACUCUCUGGUUAGCUUAUUACCAAACUCGGUCUCACCGAGUUUGUGUAAUCGGUCUCACCGAGAUUACGUUAUGCCCAAACCCUAACCAUAUCGGUCCUACCGAGUUGCAUGUCAGUCCCACCGAAAAUCUCUAACGGUCACUAGGUUUACCUUUUCGGUCCGACCGAGUUUGUUGAUUCGGUCGCACCGAGAUUGGAAAAUUGUGUGUAAUGGUUGGAUUUUGUGUGGAGGCUAUAUAUACCCCUCCACCUCCUCUUCAUUCGUGGAGAGAGCCAUCAGAACACAUACACAAUUCCAACUCAUAUGUUCUGAGAGAGAACCACCUACUCAUGUGUUGAGACCAAGAUAUUCCAUUCCUACCAUAUGAAUCUUGAUCUCUAGCCUUCCCCAAGUUGCUUUCCACUCAAACCUUCUUUCCACCAGAUCCAAAUCCUAAGAGAGAGAGUUGAGUGUUGGGGAGACUAUCAUUUGAAGCACAAGAGCAAGGAGUUUAUUACCUACACACCAUUUGUUACUUCUUGGAGAGUGGUGUCUCCUAGAUUGGCUAGGUGUCACUUGGGAGCCUCCGACAAGAUUGUGGAGUUGAACCAAGGAGUUUGUAAGGGCAAGGAGAUCGCCUACUUCGUGAAGAUCUACCGCUAGUGAGGCAAGUCCUUCGUGGGCGAUGGCCAUGGUGGGAUAGAUAAGGUUGCUUCUUCGUGGACCCUUUGUGGGUGGUUGCUUCUUCGUGGACCCUUCGUGGGUGGAGCCCUCCGUGGACUCGCGCAACCGUUACCCUUCGUGGGUGGAGCCCUCCGUGGACUCGCACAACCGUUACCCUUCGUGGGUUGAAGUCUCCAUCAACGUGGAUGUAGGAUAGCACCACCUAUCCGAACCACGGGAAAUACAUCCAUGUCUCCAAUUGCGUUUGAAUUCUCCAAAUCCUUCCCUUUACGUUCUUGCAAGUUGCAUGCUUUACUUUCCGCUGUCAAUAUACUCUUUGCAUGCUUGCUUGAAUUGUGUGAUGAUUGCUUGACUUGUCCUACAAUAGCUAAAAUCUGCCAAGAACUAAAAUUGGGAAAAGGUUAAGUUUUUAUUUGGUCAAGUAGUCUAAUCACCCCCCCCUCUAGACAUACUUUCGAUCCUACAAGUGGUAUCAGAGCUUUGGUCUCCAUUUGCUUUGAUCUCCAUAGCUUUUGGUGGCCAUAGCCUUGGUUUCACAACCUAGGAGAGUAUGGCGUCUAGCGAGGGAAAUUAUCACCGUAGAGGUCCUUACUUUGAUGGUACUAAUUUUGCUAGUUGGAAGCAUAAAAUGAAAAUGCAUAUUCUUGGACAUAACCCCGCCGUUUGGGCUAUUGUGUGUGUUGGUUUGCAAGGUGACUUCUUUGAUGGGAAAGAACCAAACCAUGAAGCUACCGCGGAUGAGUUGAAGAUGUUGCAAUACAAUGCUCAAGCUUGUGAUAUUCUCUUCAACGAAUUGUGCCCCGAAGAAUUCAACAAAAUCAGCCAUCUUGAGAAUGCAAAGGAAAUUUGGGACACUUUGAUUGAUAUGCACGAAGGUACCGACUCCGUCAAGGAAUCCAAGUUGGAUGUGCUUCAAAGUCAACUUGACAAGUUCAAAAUGAAGGAUGGUGAAGGUGUCACUGAAAUGUACUCUAGGCUUGCUCUCAUCACAAAUGAGAUUGCCGGCUUAGGAAGUGAAGAGAUGGCCGAUAGAUUCAUCAUCAAGAAGAUUCUAAGAGCCUUGGAUGGAAAAUAUGAUACCGUGUGCACAUUGAUCCAAAUGAUGCCCAAUUACAAAGAUCUCAAGCCAACGGAGGUGAUUGGAAGAAUUGUUGCUCAUGAGAUGUCACUUAAGGAUAAAGAGGAACUUCACAACAAAUCAAGUGGUGCCUACAAAGCCUCAUGUGAAACCCCUACAUCAUCAAGUGAGAAACAAAACUUCAAUGAAGAAUUGAGCUUAAUGGUGAAGAACUUCAACAAGUUCUACAAGAGUAGAAGCAAAGAUAGAAGCUUCAAGUCAAGGUCCUACAAUGACAAAAGAUCUUCUAGUCGAGAGCGAAACUGCUACAGUUGUGGAAGACCCGGACACUAUUUCAAUGAGUGUACGGCUCCCUACAAGAGAAGAGAAGAUUCUCCAAAAAGAAGAAGCAAAGAAUCACCACCAAGAGAGAGAAGGAGUAGAGAUGAUCGUUAUGAACGAAGAUACUCACGGAGAAGCAAGGAUUCGGAAAGGAAGGAAAAAUCAUCAAGGAGCUACACAAAACGAAGACAUCAAGCUCAUGUUGGUGAAUGGGUAUCCGGCUCCAACACCGACAGCCACUCCGAGAGAAGUUAUCACUCCGACUCCGAAGAUACUCAAGACGAAGGUGUUGCCGGUCUAGCACUUGUGUCAACCAACUCCUACGACAUAUUUGACUCACCAAAUGAAGGAAUUGAAAGAUGCUUCAUGGCCAAAGGUCCUAAGGUAACACACCCCGAGUAUGUUGAUUUCAAUAGUGAUGAAGAUGACUUGUUAGGUGAUGAUUUGCUUGUUGACAACUCUAGUGAUGAAUACUAUGAUGAAACGUCAAUUAAUCAUGCUAAUCAAGAUAAAACGAGUGACAAUGAUAAGGAGAAUAUUGAGGCUCUAACUAAAGAACUAAACACUCUUAAGUUAGCUCAUGAAACUAUCUUCGAAGAUCAUCGAGAACUUUUAAGAGCUCAUGAGAAAUUACGCUUUGAAAAGCUCAAUCUUGAGCAAGAGCAUGAGUUCUUAAAAGCAAUCAAUGAUGAUCUCCGCAAGAAAAGUUCUUCUUACAUUGCCAAGCGUUUACUCUUAUCCACUUACAUGCCUCAAGUCAAGUCUAGUAUCAAGAACAAGAAAGAUUCUUCCUCUAGCAGUAACAAUGAUCAUGCUAAAUCCAAUAUUGUUGCUUCUAGUAGUUCUCUUGAUUCCACUAAUGAUUCUCUUAGCCAAGUUACACUUGAGCAAGAAAAUAGCUUAUUGAAGGGAAUUAUAGAGAAAGGAGUGUACAAAAGCCUUGCCGGGAGUAAGCAAUUCGAGGAAAUUGUGCGCAAGCAAGGAAUGCACCGGAAGAAUCAAGGUGUUGGUUUUGAACGAAAGUUCAAUGCCAAUGGAGUUGAGUGGGAAGAAGAUCAAUAUCCCAAGACAAAGUUUGUUCCUCAACAAGAGAAGUAUGAUACUUAUUUCAAGGGGACACAAGCUCAAGAUGAUCUUCCACCACAAGACUACAAGCAAAAAGGCAAGGACAAGCUUCAAGAGGAAAUUGAUGCAUUUUAAGAAGCUCCUAAGACCUUAGUCAAGUGGAUUCCCAAGACUACUUCAAGUUCCACUUCAUCAAGUACGACUACAACUCCAAGGAUUCCCAUCAAGAUGGUGUGGAUCCAAAAGAAGAAGAACUAGAGAGUUCUUGAGGGUGACUCCGCCAACAUACUUCACUCUUAUCAUUUUGGCAAGAACAAGUGCAAUCAACUUCCACAUCUUGCACUAGUUCAAGGAGUCACAAACCCUCUUGUUGGUAAGACAAGGGACAAGGUAACCUAAAAGUUUUCAUGGACAUCAUCUUGUGUGUGCAUCACUCUAUGUCUAUGGAUAUCCUUGAUUGUUCCUUGUGGGACUAACCCAUGUAGGUAUUGAAAGUGCAAUUCACUCAAAUGGAUAGCUCCAAGUGAUCUACAUCAACAUUGAGCAUCCACAUCUUCAACAUCUACAUGAAGUCAUCAUCGACAAAACCCGAGGUUAGUUCAUCCCUCUAAGGGGGGAUAUCACAUCUAGGGGGAGCUUUACUCUAAGACUUGAGCUAAAGCAACUCUAAAGAUGUGAACACAACAAUGCUUUAUGUAAAAGUGGUAACCCCACUUGAGCUUAAACGAUGAGUAUGACCUAUGAUCAAGUGUUCUUACUUGACUCCUAAGUCAAUAUACUCAUAUAUAGAUGACCUUGUCAUCGCAAAUUGCUUGAUAGAUGCUAGAAUUGGUUGUGCAUGCCUUGUCACAUAUUUCAUUUGCCAUCUUAUUGUGUGAGCAUGCUGGUUGCAUAUUUUACUCGUUCGAGAACAUCCACUUGUUGUUUUGAUUGUUUGGUUUUAUUUCCUUUUGCCAAGUGGAUGGACAAGAAUGCCUAAGAACCUCCUCUAGCUAUCUAUGCUUUUCUCGUCUCAAACUCUAUUCAUGCUACAUCACAAAAUUUGAUCAAGUCAGAUUCGAACCACUCUGUGUGAGGAGCGCUCGGAGUCCCCGAUUCGUCAUAGACUUAAACUUCCAAAACCUCUUUAUGAUUCUCGGUCUGACCGAUACCCCACUUUCGGUCCUACCGAGAUCAUUAAGUUGAUCUAGGUUUUCGAUCUCGGUGCAACCGAUUUGAACCAUUCGGUCACACCGAGUUGCAACAACUGUAUACAGUUUUGCAUCUCGGUGCCACCGAGUUGUUCCACUCGGUCACACCGACAGGGUCGGGCUAUAUAUAGUCACGGGUAAAAAUUUGGAAAUUUCUCCGAACCCCUUCGCCCGCGCGAUAGCUCGCUCUGCCAACGUGGUCUCCAGAUCGUCUCCUCGCCACCAGCCGCCUCCAGUCGCUGGUCUCCGUCGCCAUCAACGGAAAUUCAACCCCGCCAUUGCUGCCGUAGCGAGUCUCCGCAGAACUAGGGUAUGGACUCGAUCACAGUGCUAUUCCCCGUCCGAUUCCUAGCACAUUGUGUUCUUAAUGAUUCUUGCCACGAUUGAAACACUCCUAUCCAGUCAAUGCAUUCGUAGAUUAGUUUUGAUUCGAAAAUUUUAGGGCUAGGUUUCCGCCGAAACCAUCUCGGACCCACCGAGUUGAAAAACUCAGUCCCACCGAUUUGGCUCAUGCCAUUGCACAAGUGAGACUCGGUCUGACCGAGAAUUACUUAUCGGUGUGACCGAUUUUGGAACUUUGUGAAACCCUGGCAGUCUCGGUACCACCGAACUGUGACUUGGUCUGACCGAGUUCACUAGUUUAGGUUCCAAAACUGCUUCGGUAUCACCGAGUUUAAAAAUCGGUAGAUCCGAGAUGAUUUCAGUGGGAAACUAAAACUAAGAUUUUGAAUCAUUCUUUUGCAAAAAUCUCUGCAUUUUGUGAUGCUCAUCCACUCUACCUCAUCUAUAAACUAUUCAACAGGGUCAGCAGUCAGCUUGUUCAUCAUGUCAGACCAAAGUGAUAGCCAGAACAUGUCAGAACAGCCAGUGCAGAUGAGUGAGGGCACUAGUCCCUCAAGUUCUUCAGAUGAAGGCAACAGGAGCACCCCUAGCAAUCUGCCAAAAGCUGCCACAAGACAAAGGAAGAAGAGAACCUCAGAAUCAGAGGAUGAGGACUAUGUGGCAGAAGAGGAAGCAACUUCAAAGAGAGUAGUGCUCACGAAGGAACAUGGCUCAGCUCAAGGCACAAAGCCAGGAUUGAAAAUCAAAAGGCCAGCAGGUAGGCAGCCUAUGCCAAAGGCCAGAGCCUCAACUCAGAUUCCUGAAAAGCCUGCAACCAUAGAGCCAGUUGCUGCUGAAGGAAAGAAAAGGAAGGAAAGGGUCAAGAAGACCGUAGCCAGAGUGCUUGGAAAGGCUUCCAUCAUGGAAGAAGAGGAAGAAGAAGAGGUUGCUGCACCAGCACCUAAGGCACCUAAGCUUAUGGGUGAUGCUAUAAGAUCAGGGGCUGCUGCAUCCAAGCCCAAAGAAGCACCCAAAGCUGCCUCCAAGCCCAAGACAGCACCAAAGAGAAAUACGAGGAGCAUACCUGCAACUGAGAAGAACAAGGCCCCGGUGCCUGAAGCUGCUGAAGAAGAUGAUGAAGAGCAUGUUCUGAGAAAGCUCAAGCCCAAGAUCCCAGACCACAAUGAUGCUCAUCCUGUGGCUGAGGACAUGAAGCUCAGAAGAGACUCAGGGCUAAGGAAGUGGAGAGAAGCAGAUCCGUAUGCUUUAAGGAGAAGAACUGCUGUUGAUUACAGGUUUCACACUAAGGAACAGCAGGACUUCUAUGAGACAGUUUUGUUGGACAAGAAGCCCAUAGUUUGUGACAUGAGAUGGGUUGAUUGGGAGUACAUCAAGGACAAUGAAGAGCACUAUCCUGGAGUGCAAGACAACUUCAAUGCUUGUGGAGUAGCAGACUUUGUUGGGCAGAAGCUCACAAAGUGGAACGAGGAACUUAUUAUGCAAUUCUACUCCACGGCACACUUCUAUCCAGAUGGUAGGAUAACUUGGAUGUCUGAAGGUACGAGGUACCAAUCUACAGUUGCUGAAUGGGCUCAGCUGAUCAAUGCCCCAGAAGAUCAGGAAGAUGACUUGGAUGUCUAUGCCAAGAAAAAGAUGGAUCAUAACUCAAUGGCAAAUAUGUACAAGGAGAUUCCAGUAGAUGAUCUUGACACUCACCAGCUUGGGUCCGUAAAAUACUUGUUGUCAGGACUGCCUACGAUCAACUGGAUCCUUAGGCACACACUCUUGCCCAAGUCUGGAGAUCACAGAAUGAUCAGAGGUCACGCCAUUAACUUUCUACAUAUAUUUGAUGUGCCUCAGAAAUUCAAGGUCAUGAGCCUCAUAGUAGAAACUAUCAAGAGGACUGCAGCAGAUCAGAAGAGGAGCUGUGGUUAUGCCCCUCAGAUUCAGGAGUUAAUCAACUCAAAAAUGGACACAGGCACAUACUUGUUGGACAAGGAACACUUGCCUAUUCAUCCAGAUUUCAAGGACAGUCAAGUGGUGAUGAAUGAGAAUGAACCAUCAUCAGCUCAAGCUCAAGCAAAGAAGGAGAAGGCAAGGAAGGAGAAAGCUGCCAAGAUGCCAACUCAAGAGGAGGCAUCUAAGUAUUUCUUGAAAACCAAAUAAGAGCAGCUUGGUUACUUGAUUGCAUCCACACUGAGGAUUGAGCAAGGACUGGCCACCCUCACUGAGAAUCAGCAGAGCUUAGAGAGGAUCAUGAAACAAAAGUUCUAUGACUUGGUUGUCAAAGUAACAGAGAUUCAGUCUGCAGUGGAACAACUUCAGGAUGACAUGCAGGAGAGGAGAGGCAAGACUACAACUGAUGCAUUUGCCAGAGUGCCAAGAGCUCAGAGAUCACAUGCAGUGCCAGUUGCUGACACCAGAGCCACCACUUCUGCACCAGCUACAGCCUCAGUUCCACCAGCUCCAGCGUCCACUUCAGCCUCGACUCCGACCACGUCUAUAGAAGGCUUCGUCCUUGGAGUGCUCCGGACUCCACCACCACCUGAAGAUCAAGCCUGAGUGUCGACUUAGCACUAUGCAUUUUCUAGGAACUUUUUGGUAACUUGUUGCCAAAAGGGGAGAAAAUGUAUAGAUCAUAGGCUUCGAGAGAGAGUGUUGCUUUUAUUCUCUCUUGUUUUAUUUGGUGGUUUUUCGAACUUUGUUUGCUUUUGUGUGAGAUACUAUGUCAUUGCUCGUGAGACAUUGAUGAUCAUGUGUUUGAUCAUAAGCUACACAUAAUGUUUGCUUAAUAUUAUCAUCUUAUCUAUCUUAUGUGAUCAUUCACUAUUCUUGGUGAUGAGUGCAUGUAUUUCAUUCUUAUCAUUUUAAGCGCUCCACCAAGAUGUAUGUGACAUGGAAGAGUAACCCAUGACUCUAACUCUUUGUGCAUUUGCAGUCCAAAGCAAAUUUUAAAUAUGCACAAAUUUAGUGAAAGCUCUUACUUGUCACAUACUUCUCAAAGCGACGAUAUAUUUCAUGCUUAUUAUCAUUUGUCGAAGCCUUGAUCUAUAUGUUGUCAUCAAUUACCAAAAAGGGGGAGAUUGAAAGUGCAACCAUCCCUAGGUGGUUUUGGUAAUUCAUAACAACAUAUAGCUCAUUGAGCUAAUGCUAUUCCAAGAUGACUAUUUCAGGAAAGCUCAAUGAUUGGCAUGGCAUGGAUGUGAAAGUGGAACCCUCAAAAUGCUAAGGACAAAGGAUUGGCUCGAGCUCAAAAUCUCAAGACUCUUUAUUUUAUAUUUUAGUGAUCCAAGAUCACAUUGAGUCUUUAGGAAAAGCCAAUACUAUCAAGGAGGGAUUAGGUGUUGCUUAAUGAGCCUCUUGCUUCAUGUGCUUAGUGAUAUGCUCCAAAAUCCUCAACUACUUUCCCACUUCCACAUAUGACCUAAACCCUAAGCCAAACUCAGUCCUACCGAUUCUUUCUAUCCGGCGCCACCGAGUUUUACUUGUCAUAAGCCACUGCCAAACCCUAGCAAUUCGGUUCUACCGAUAGGGAUCUCGGUCUCACCGAGAUGGGAUUGCAAACUCUCUGUUUCCUUUUCGUAACUUUUCGGUCUCACCGAAAGAGCGAAUCGGUCCCACCGAGAUUGCAAUGUAAACUCUAUGUUUCCCUUUUGUAACUUUUCGGUCUCACCGAAAGAGCAAAUCGGUCCCACCGAGUUUACCUGACCAACUCUCUGGUUAGCUUAUUACCAAACUCGGUCUCACCGAGUUUGUGUAAUCGGUCUCACCGAGAUUACGUUAUGCCCAAACCCUAACCAUAUCGGUCCUACCAAGUUGCAUGUCAGUCCCACCGAAAAUCUCUAACGGUCACUAGGUUUACAUUUUCGGUCCGACCGAGUUUGUUGAUUCGGUCCCACCGAGAUUGGAAAACUGUGUGUAACGGUUGGAUUUUGUGUGGAGGCUAUAUAUACCCCUCCACCUCCUCUUCAUUCGUGGAGAGAGCCAUCAGAACACAUACACAAUUCCAACUCAUAUGUUCUGAGAGAGAACCACCUACUCAUGUGUUGAGACCAAGAUAUUCCAUUCCUACCAUAUGAAUCUUGAUAUCUAGCCUUCCCCAAGUUGCUUUCCACUCAAACCUUCUUUCCACCAGAUCCAAAUCCUAUGAGAGAGAGUUGAGUGUUGGGGAGACUAUCAUUUGAAGCACAAGAGCAAGGAGUUCAUUACCUACACACCAUUUGUUACUUCUUGGAGAGUGGUGCCUCCUAGAUUGGCUAGGUGUCACUUGGGAGCCUCCGACAAGAUUGUGGAGUUGAACCAAGGAGUUUGUAAGGGCAAGGAGAUCGCCUACUUCGUGAAGAUCUACUGCUAGUGAGGCAAGUCCUUCGUGGGCGAUGGCCAUGGUGGGAUAGACAAGGUUGCUUCUUCGUGGACCCUUUGUGGGUGGUUGCUUCUUCGUGGACCCUUCGUGGGUGGAGCCCUCCGUGGACUCGCGCAACCGUUACCCUUCGUGGGUGGAGCCCUCUACCCUUCGUGGGUUGAAGUCUCCAUCAACGUGGAUGUAGGAUAGCACCACCUAUCCGAACCACGGGAAAUACAUCCGUGUCUCCAAUUGCGUUUGAAUUCUCCAAACCCUUCCCUUUACAUUCUUGCAAUUUGCAUGCUUUACUUUCCGCUGCCAAUAUACUCUUUGCAUGCUUGCUUGAAUUGUGUGAUGAUUGCUUGACUUGUCCUACAAUAGCUAAAAUCUGCCAAGAACUAAAAUUGGGAAAAGGUUAAGUUUUUAUUUGGUCAAGUAGUCUAAUCACCCCCCUCUAGACAUAAUUUCGAUCCUACAAAAAGGCAGGGAACAAAAAUAAAGUUGGGUUGCCUCCCAACAAGCGCUAUCGUUUAACGCCCCUAGCUAGGCAUGAUAAUUUCAACGAUGCUCACAUAAAAGAUAAGAAUUGUAAUAUAAAGAGAGCAUCAUAAAUAAUAUGACUAGCACAUUUAAGUCUAACAUACUUCCUAUGCAUAGGGAUUUUGUGAGCAAACAACUUGUGGGAACAAGAAUCAACUUGCAUAGGAAGGUAAAACAAGCAUAACUUAAAAACUUUAAGCACAUAGAGAGGAAACUUGAUAUUAUUGCAAUUCCUACAAGCAUAUGUUCCUCCCUCAUAAUAAUUUUCAGUAGCAUCAUGAAUGAAUUCAACAAUAUAACCAGCACCUAAAGCAUUCUUUUCAUGAUCUACAAGCAUAGAAAAUUUAUUACUCUCCACAUAGGCAAAAUUCUUCUCAUUCGGAAUAGUGGGAGUAUCAUAGGAAAGUCGAAUACUAUAAAUUGUUUCCAUAUUAAAAGAGUAAUGUUCAGAGAAGGGGUAAUCAUAAUCAUGACAAGUUUUAUAAAUAUAAUCAUCACUACUUUUUAUAGCAUAAGUUUCAUCACAAUAAUCAUCAUAAGUAGCAACUUUGUUCUCAUCAUAAUCACUUUGCAUAUCAAAACAUGGGAGGCUAAAAAUAUCAUCAUUAUUAAACAUAGAAUCCCCAAGCUUGGGACAGACAUUAAUUGCAGCAAAUAUAUUCUCAAUUAUGUCAUCCUCAUCAAACAUAGCUUCCCCAAGCUUGGGCCUUUUCGUAUCAUAAGCAUAAUCACUCUCAUCAUUAAUAGCAUGGAUAGCACCAAUAGUAUAGCAAUUAUUAUAUUCUUCCAAGCAUGUGCCAAAAAGAUUUUCAAGAUCAUAAGAAGUAUCAUUAUCUUCCCAAUCAUAAUCAUCACAACAAGCAAUAGGCAUAACGAGAUCAUCAUCAAGUGUAUCAUCUUCAUUUUCAUGAGGCACAACAAUAAUAGGAGCAACUUUAUUUGGGAGAGAUACCUUUUUACCACUCUUCCUUUUUCUUUUCUUCUUCUUUACCACAUCGUGUGUGGGUUCAAUCCUCUUUUUGGAGCUCCUUAUUAAUGAGAUUGGUUGAAUAGGAGGCUCCUCCUCGUUGCCCGAUUCAUCAUAAGAGAUAAUAGGAGGAUAUUAGGAAGUCUCUUCCCUUUCAUUAGUAUUCUUUUCAUCUUCUAUUCGUUUCCUUUUCUUUAUUUAGUUGGCAAUAUAAGGAUUUUCAAUGCAAUUCACUGCACAAUACAUAUAAAUAUUCUCUAGAUCAAAAUCGAGAACUCUAUCAAGAUUAAACUUUGGAAUACCCUCAGUUAUACGUUUCAUUUCUUCAUAACCCAAAAGAAGGCUAAGCUCUUUAUGAUGCUCAAGGGUAAUCAAAUUAUCACAAUGUUUGGAUACGACUUGAUCAUGAAACAAAUAGCAUUGGAGCUUUAAAUGACCAUGUUCAUUGCAAAGUUCACAAGGGGCACGAAAAAUAUUGAAUCUUUCAGCACAUUUCAUCUAGACUUUCUUGCAACAAUCUAGUUUCUAAGUACUUAUGCCUCUUGCAAUAUCUAUCUUCCCUAUUUGGUGUGUACUUGCAAACCCAAUGCACUCCACAAAAAUUGACAUGUUUAUAGGAGGUAUUUUCAUCAUAACUAGUGCAAUCAUCAUUAGCAUCAUGGAUAUUCAAGGAGUUCAUACUAACAACAUUGCAAUCAUGCUCAUCAUUCAAAGAUUUAGUGCCAAACAUUUUAUAGACUUCUUCUUCUAGCACUUGAGCACGAUUUUCCUUUCCAUCAUUCUCACGAAAAAUAUUAAAAAGAUGAAGCGUAUGAGGCAAACUCAAUUCUAUUUUUUUGUAAUUUUCUUUUAUAAACUAAAUUAGUGCUAAAACAAGAAACUAAAAGGUUCGAUUGCAAGAUCUAAAGAUAUACCUUCAAGCGCUAACCACUCCGGCAACGGCGCCAGAAAAGAGCUUGAUGUCUACUACACAACCUUCUUCUUGUAGACGUUAUUGGGCCUCCAAGUGCGGAGGUUUGUAGGACAGUAGCAAAUUUCCCUCAAGUGGAUGACCUAAGGUUUAUCAAUCCGUGGGAGGCGUAGGAUGAAGAUGGUCUCUCUCAAGCAACCCUGCAACCAAAUAACAAAGAGUCUCUUGUGUCCCCAACACACCCAAUACAAUGGUAAAUUGUAUAGGUGCACUAGUUCGACGAAGAGAUGGUGAUACAAGUGCAAUAUGGAUAGUAGAUAAUGGUUUUGUAAUAUGAAAAUAUAAAAAUAGCAAGGUAAAGAGUGGUAAAAUUGGAUACAUAAGAAAUUUUAAAUUUUAAAUUUAAAUGACCAUGUUCAUUGCAAAGUUCACAAGUAUGGUGAAGAAAUUUUAAAUUUUCAACACAAACAUCUAGCAUUUCUUGCAACCAUUUAGUUUCCAAAUACUUAUGCCUCUUACAAAAUCUAUUUUCCCUAUUUGGUGUGUACUUGCAAACUCUAGGCACUCCACAAAAAUUGACAUGCUUAUAAGAGACAUUUUCAUUAUGACUAGUGCAAUCAUCAUUCAUACUAUGGAUAUUCAAGGAGUUCAUACUAACAACAUUGCAAUCAUGCUCAUCAUUCAAAGAUUUAGUGCCAAAUAUUUUAUAGACUUCUUCUUCUAGCACUUGAGCACGAUUUUCCUUUCCAUCAUUCUCACGAAAAAUAUUAAAAAGAUGAAGCGUAUGAGGCAAACUCAAUUCUAUUUUCUUUGUAAUUUUCUUUUAUAAACUAAACUAGUGCUAAAACAAGAAACUAAAAGAUUCGAUUGCAAGAUCUAAAGAUAUACCUUCAAGCGCUAACCACUCCGGCAACGGCGCCAGAAAAGAGCUUGAUGUCUACUACAGAACCUUCUUCUUGUAGACGUUAUUGGGACUCCAAGUGCAGAGGUUUGUAGGACAGUAGCAAAUUUCCCUCAAGUGGAUGACCUAAGGUUUAUCAAUCUGUGGGAGGCGUAGGAUGAAGAUGGUCUCUCUCAAGCAACCCUGCAACCAAAUAACAAAGAGUCUCUUGUGUCCCCAACACACCCAAUACAAUGAUAAAUUGUAUAGGUGCACUAGUUCGACAAAGAGAUGGUGAUACAAGUGCAAUAUGGAUAAUAGAUAAUGGUUUUGUAAUAUGAAAAUAUAAAAACAGCAAGGUAACAAGUGGUAAAAGUCAGCGUAAACGAUAUUGUAAUGCGUUGAAACAAGGCCUAGGGUUCAUACUUUCACUAGUGCAAGUUCUCUCAACAAUAAUAACAUAAUUGGAUCAUAUAUCUAUCCAUCAACAUGCAACAAAGAGUCACUCCAAAGUCACUAAUAGCGGAGAACAAACGAAGAGAUUAUGGUAGGGUACGAAACCACCUCAAAGUUAUCCUUUCUGAUCGAUCUAUUCAAGAGUUUGUAGUAACCUUACUAGAGGGGAAGCGACGUCUACUUCCUUCGAACCAAAGAUGAAGAAAGAAGAAUGCAAAAUCAAGAAUCCGCAGAUAAACAAUGAAUGCAUGGAGAAGAUAUUAGUCCAACUAGUGGGAGCAGUUAUGAAAGUUGAAAAUCUUCUAAAAUGCAUACUUGUGGUUCUUGUUUUCUUUGGUCUUACUAUUCUAGUAAAGAUUUGGUGAUGUCUUAUGUAUCCAAUGUUGUUGAAAAAGCAAAGAAAUGCAUUAUGUUGGAUCAAAUUAAGGUGCAAAUUUAGGUUUUCCGAGGCGGGAGGAGCUGCGCCGGAUCAACCCUGUAAAGCCGACCCGUAAAAGAGCAUAUUCCGCUAAUAUCCCUUUUUACGGGUCCGUUAUGCGGAGUGUGCAACUGCGGCCAUCCGCGCCGCCCGCAAAGCGUUUUUCCGCAAACUGCAAACACGUUUUGCGGACCGGUCGGAUGCGGGAUCUGCUAGAGUUGCUCUUAGAUCACUAUUUUAGUUAUCAAUGAUCUUAUAUUAAUUUACAGAUGGAGUAGUUAGCACGAGAGUUGGUAAAUAGGAUGGGGUGUUUCAUGCUUGAGAGGCGACUAAUGCACAGGCGCUAUUAUAACUGUGCUACUGAUAAAUUGUUGCAAGAAAGUUAUCUCUUAGGUGUAGUUGAAUUAACAACUCAACUGCUAAGGCUUAUAAAUAUUUUUUUAGCUUCCUUUAUGUCGAAUCAAUAAAUUUGGAUGAAAUAUUACCCUCGAAAACUGUCAUGGCCCCCUUAUACUUAUGGAUCAUCAAGACUAUAUUCCCGCGCUGUUGCCGGGGAGUAUAGCUCUAUUUAUUAAGUUCACUUGGAAGUCAAUUAUCUGAUGUAAUUUAUCUUUACUAUGAAGAAACUCAAUUUCGUUUUGAAUUCUAUUUUUCCUUCAAAAGCAAACUUUCCCUAAAUGCCAAAUGGAAUAUUUUUGAAUAGGUAUACAUUUUGUUUGGUCCUUUUGAACAAAUAUUUUCUGCCACAUAUUUUGAACGCCUAGAUUAAAUAUUGUAUUAAAUUUCAAUUUGUCUUAAAACCCAUAUAUGCUCUAAAUCUAGUAUGGAAUAUUAACAAAAAGUCAAAUGUUUUAUUGGUAAUUUAUUUUUCUGCUCAAGUAAAUACAAAGUCCUUCUAAAUAGUUUCCCUUUUGGAUUUUUGAAUAUAUUCCAAGAACCAAUCCAAUUUAAUCUUUUUUGGAAACUUAUCAUAGGCUUAAAUAUUGUUUGGGUCUUAUUAAAAAUACUUUUCAGCCCAAAUAAAUCUUUUAACUUGUCACCGCAUUUUGGGAUUCAAAAUUGUUUCCUAAACCUUUUAGGGUUCAUUCUAUUUUCCCAAAUUUCAAACUAGGGUUUCAAAUAUUGUUUGAGGUUUAUGGAAUUUAUUCCAACCCAAUGAAGGCAUCUUUGUGUGUGCUCAAUUUGGAUUAUAUAGUUACUCACUAAACUUCUACUUAGGUUUCUUUAUAAUCCCAAAUUUUAAUUGAGUCACUUUUUCAAACAAUUCAAGCAAUCAAUAAUCAAUUCUAGCUAAAGUAAUCAUUGUCAAACGACAUCAAAUGCGUAAUAUAAUGUAUGCAAUGAAAAUCCAUACAUAUCUUUGGUUACUCGUGUUAGCAGUGAGUUGAUACGUCCAAAACGUAUCUACUUUUCUAACCACUUUUGCUUGCCCCAGUUAAAUAAUCUUUCUUGGACUAGUUAUUAUUAUUACUAAUGGUGUUGUUUACAUGUGCACUUGACAACAAUUCACCAAAAAAGUAAAAUGAUAUUUUUGGGAGUUUUGGAGCAAAAGAGGAAGACCACCCGAAAGAUGUCACAAGGACCGAUGAGGGAUUCCACCCCCACACGUGGGAUUGUGGUAUGGCUGCAUGGGGCCAUAUGCAUCCAUGGCUACCAUCUUCCAGCUAUAAGACCGAACCUUUAGAGGUACAGAGUCUCUUGGAACCUCUUGCUUCCUCUUAUGCUACAAUUGUCAGAGGCGAGAAGGCAGCAAUUUCUGAGAGCGGAUGCUCGUCAGCGCACUAAGUAGCCUAGCAUGUCUCCGGUGGUCCUUAUGGAUCUCGAGGAUGUGGCAAGGUUUGCUUUCAUGUUGGUAGGUGGGGAGUUGAAUCUCAAUGUUAGUGGAGUUUAGUGUCCAUGUGAAGAUGGAGAUGUAGUAGCGGCGUUUUCUCGUCGAAGUAAUGUUCUUCCCAUUCUCUCCCCAUUCCAAUGGUGUCCUUCUCGAUGAUAACAUGGAUGAAACGACGAUAAUGACGGUGAUUUUUAGAAAAGGGGCGUGCGGGAGGAGCAUGUACUCAACUUCAAAGGUUCAAUGUCGGGACAUCAAUUCUUAAACCGGCGUCGGCACGGGGGCAUGACGCUCUCUAUGGGGACUAUUUUGGCCCUUGAUGCACUAUUUCAACUGGUAUUUGCAAUGUCGAUACCGGAUGCACCACCCAUUGUCCUUGCACAUCAUGAAAGGUAUGAGGGUAUAUGAUGGUUACUUAAAGAUGAAGAAGGAUACCACUGGCUACAUUGUCCAUGUUGCCCUUACAAGGCUAAUUUAAGCUUGUUGGUGUUGGUUGCCAGCAUUGUUGAGAAAAUCAUUAACUGGUAGCUGCUGAGUUGGCUGGCAUGUAGGGGAUUAAUAGACUAAUCGUCCAUUUAAUCAAUUAAUCGACCGAUUUAUGAAAUUAUCGGCUACUUAGUGACGCUACGAGUAGGUUUAAUCGGCAAGUUAACUGGUUAUUUGGACGAAUUCAUGAACAUGGGUUACCGGUGCAGCCUACAAACGCCUUAUCCUUCUCAUAUGGUGUGUUAGCUGUGUUUGUUUUUCUUAAACAAGGAUGAAAUGUAUGUGUUUGAAAAUUCAGAAUGAAAUUCCUUGAAUCGCGACUUCGUACAAAAAAAAAACA